rnacentral:lncRNA from 1 species
GAAUAUAGUUUGAUUCUCCUACUUUCAACUUUCCCUGCUUUGGACUCUUGUUUUUCAAUAUCAGCAAGUGUAGAGCCGGUUCUCUUUGCCUUCUCAGAAAAGAGCUCAUCCAAAGAUCCGAGAGCCCUCAUCUACACAUCUGCAUUUUAUUUUCUUAUAUAACCCCAUCCUCAGCUUGCCAAACCGACCUUAAACAAAAACAAAGAGGCUAUUCUUUCUUUUUCUUGAGCGAAGAGGUUAUUUUGUCUACCAUGUCCGAAAUCGUACCUCUCCAAAAUUGACAAUUUUCAACAACAAAGGAGAGGAAAAAGCAAGAACAGAGGAUGCAAGUGAGAAAUGAAAGGUCCGAUGAAUGCGGUAAAACAACGUACAAGCCGGUUGCGAAAGCGAUCGCCAUUGCUCCCAUCCCAACCAUGGUGAAAAUAAAGGCCCAAAGCAAGUGCUUCUCAAGGAACUUCUCCCGUUUGCGCAUGGUCAUAAAAAAGUGAAGAAAUACGGCGCAUAGUGAAGACACCAUGGCUAUGGUAUCGGUCACAACAAAUGCUCUGAAAGCUGCUUUCUUUGAUAAAAUUGCCUUGCCAUCAUCCUCUUUGUAACCACCGGGCAAGGUGAAACCUGCAGCAAAAGUUACUGUUGUUAAAAGCGCGGACACUAUCAAAUGGGUUUCACCUUGUUUUCGUAAUUCAGAGGUGUAUUUCUCCUUGUACUCUUUGCUUUCUUUUUCUGUCUUCAAUUUCUUCAUUGACUUCUCCCGAGCCAUAGAUGAAUUACCGGGCAUAGCCCACUCGAACUGCUCUUGGAUCUGAUUCAGAAAUUGGAUGAGAGGAACAUUUAAAUUUAAUUCAAUUGAACAAUCCAUUUUUUUCACAUGCACUCAUUGCUGAUGAAAAUCUGAUAUAAGUGAAAAAUGCGCGUUACUUAAAUGCAUCAAAUCAAGCUUAUUUAUUCCAAAAGAUAUGACGUUAAUCGAGUUAUUUGUUUGUUCUAAACCCUUUUAAUAAAAAUGAUAUGUUGAGUGCAAAUUUAUUUAAAUUUCAACAUCAAUAUAAAUUAUUAAAUAAAUCCAAUAAAUUCAUUUUUUUAACUCAUAUAUAAGUUUUGGAAUAGAUGUUUUGCAAUUAUCUCUUUACAAUAAGAUAAACAAGAGUCUUACUAAUAAUGGUGAAUUCUGGUGCUGGGGUCUUAUGCCCAUCGUGAGUCGAUAGGCUACGGAUGAAAGGAUGGUAUGUUUAGGUUCAAGGAAACCAAUCAUAUGGUUAAAAGUAACAAAACAUUGCGUAUUUCAAAGAAAAUAUUUUCGUUCAAAUGAGCACAUGCAGUUUGAGAAACACGAUAUAACGAGCAUUUUUCAAUACAUGGUAACAAAGUGAUGAGGGAGCCUUUCCCUUUUCGUUGAAACAUUCUCCUUGGCCUUCAAAGUCAUGUCGUAAGCUGUCAAUUUUUCAUUGUUGUACUUAUUUAUUUAUUUUGUAUUUAAUUAACUGCGUUAUGGCCCUCAUGUGAGCUGCAAUAGUGACAUUUUUGUGUUUCAAAUGUUGAAUAUUCUCUAAAAAUUAUUCACUUUGUAGUAUUAUUAUAUAUCAUCUAUAUCCUAUUAUCUAUUUAAUUUAUUAAAAAAAUUAUAAGAUAUUAAUUCAAUAUCUAUUAAACUGUAAUCUUAAUUAUUAAAAAUAUAUGAUAAAAUCUAAAUUAUUAGAUAAGAGUAUAAAUAAAUAAAAUUAAAAUAUAAAAAAAUGUAAUCAAAUUAUUAAAAAAUUGACACAAUUAGAUACAAAACAAUAAAAGUAAAUUAUAUACAUGAUAUAUUAUAAUUAAUUCCACAAUUUUGUACGUACGAAUUUGAUAUUAUAGCGAAACUAAUCUUUCCAUCAUAUUUGUUAGUAUAAAACUAACAAUGUCUUGCCUAGUUAGUUUCCUUUGAGUCUCAAUGUUUUCUCGAAUAAACGUCUCAAGUUUGAGAGACUAGAUAGAAAAGAACUUUUUUUUGGAACUUGCAUUAUACUUGAGUUCUAAUGCCUAAUGGUUAUUUAUCUUCACCAAAUUGAAACGUUUUCUACGUGUCUUAAUUGCUUUUAAAUGUCAAUAAUUGGUUGGCUCUACAGUUUUUGGGCUUAAAGCAAGAUGUUUUAUGGUAAUGAGUGACCUUGAUGUAACGGGAUAAUAUUUAAUGCUUUGAUAAUUAAUGACUGUCGAAUGAUAAUUAAUGAUGCCCAGAUAGUCUAAUACCAAAACGGAAAAGGGAAUGCCUGGACGGAUGUUGUUGCCUCCGAUAAAAGGUUGUGUGGUUUGAAAUGUCAUUUUUUCUUAUUCAGUGAAUGACUUUUUCUAUAAUAUAAUUUAUUGGAUUGAUUUUUAAAGCAUUUUAAAUCAGUUGAAUUACCAGCUGACAUGGUAUUUAUUGUGGGUUUUAGGUAUUUGUUGCGUAUGGUAGGUGUGUGGAGGAUAAAGUUUUGAUAUUUAAUGCGUAUGAAUUAUUGGAUGAAAGGAUAGGCUUUUAAAUCAGUUGAAUUACUAGCUGACACGAUAUUUAUUGUGGGUUUUAACCUUUUAGGUAUUUAUUGCGUGUGGUAGGUGCGUGGUGGAUAGAGAUUUGAUAUUUAAUGCUUAUGAAUUAUUGGAUGAAAGGAUAGGUUUUUAAAUCGGUUGAAUUACUAGCUGACAGGGUACAUUUAUUGUGGGCUUUAGGUAUUUAUUGCGUGAGGUAGGUGAAGGGUCUCCAAAAAGCCCGCGGCCCACGGCCCGGCCUAGUGGGCUAAAGCCCGGCAGGCCCGAGCCCAUUUCUAGAUGGGUCGGGUCAUGGGCCCCAAUUUAGGCUCGAUCCGGCCCGACGGGCUGGCCCGCCCGUAGGCCCAUAGGCCCGCCACUUAAAAUAUAUAUAUAUAUAUAUAUAUAUAUAUAUAAAAUAUUCAAGAAAUAGAAAAUACUACAUUAAUAAAAAUAUUCAUUGCUAACUAUUUUAUUCAUUGAAUGUAUACAUUACAUUUGAAAAUGUGGGAAAAGUUUACAUCACUACAAAAUAAGUACAUCCCAACUAGGUUGGCACCUACUUAUUUCUCAAUCAUUGUACUUUUCAACCACAAAAAUAAAAAUAAAAAUAUGAUAUACAUUUAGUAAAAUAUUUUAAUCAUUAUCUUUUGGCGGUGAUGGCGAAAUAUCGCAAAUCCAUGAAGAUCUUGAUGAUUUUAGUUUUUCCAUAUCGACAAGCAUAUUUUCUUUUUGAAUAGAAUCAAAUAUCCUUUUAUCUGCUAUUGCCCAGUCUUUCACACAUAUAUUUGCUUCAAUAGAAUCCGGCGCUAAGCUGCAUCGUUUAUCACUAACUACUCUUCCAUCUGCACUAAAAGCAGCUUCUGAUGCAACUGUACUCACAGGAACUGUUAGUACAUCACGAGCAAUGAUAGAAAGCACAGGAUAUUUGUGUUGUUGUGAUUUCCACCAUAUUAAAAUAUCAAAAUCUUCAUCAUCUUCAAAUGAAAUUAAAUCAAUAUUAAGAUAUCUAUCUAAAUCAGUUGUGUUGUUUGGAGAACUAUUUGUUGUCUUCUUUCAACUUUUUAACAUUUCUAGAGCUCCUUUAUAAAAAGAUGAAGAGCUUGUAGAUGUAGGUAGUAAUUUAAUAGAACUAAUAUCAUCACCAUAUUUUUCUUUAUAAUAGUUAUAUAAAUUAUAUAAUAAUGAAUUUAGUUCAUUUUUAAUUUCUUCAAUUUUUAUUUGGUCAUUAAAAUAAAUAAUUGUUAACCAUUCAUCCAAAGCUUCAAAUUUCAAUCUAGGGUCUACAAUUAAAUCAAAAUAAAAAAUUAAAGGUAUUUCUCCCCAAUAUUUUCUAAAUUUUUCUAUCAUUGCAAAUAUUGCAUCAUUAAAUAUAUCCAAAUUUAAAUAUUUUUGAAGUACAAUAAAAAUAUUAGUUAUUUGCAUGACAACUCGGUUUGAAGAUGGAUAACAUACACCACAAAAUUUUUUUGUUGAAGUAUCAAAUACUUCAAAAAGAUCUCUUAAAAGAUCUGCAAUAUGUCAAUCAUAAUCAUUUAAUACAUCAAUAUCUGUUUCACAAUCAUUGCUAAUUAAUUAUAUUUCAUAUAGUUCUACUACUUUUCUAUAUUUUAUAAUAGUUUGUAAAAGUUUAUAAGUGGAAUUCCAUCUAGUGGGCAUAUCCAAAUUUAUAUAUUUUUUUUCAUAUUUAACAUUUUGCAACAAUAAAAAAAUAAUUCAUGUUUUGCUUGAGAACUAUAAAGACCCGUAGCAAUGCCUCUAAUUUUUUAUAAUGUAUCAUCAACGUGCUUUAAUCCAUCUUUUAUAAUUAAAUUUAAAAUAUGUGCACAACAACACACAUGAAAUAUUUUACAUUGAUCUUCUUUUAUUUGCCAAUAUCGUUUUAAUCUAGAUAUUGUUGCAUCAUUAUUAGAAGCAUUAUCUAAUGUUAUUGUAAAUAUUUUAUCACGAAUGCCAAAAUCUAUAAUUUCAUCAUUUAUUAAAGAUGCUAUAUUUUUACCAUUAUGUGGAGCAUUUAUUAUUUUAAAUGAAAUAAUUCUUUUAUUUAAUUUCCAUUCAUUAUCAAUAUAAUAAGCAGUUAUACAUAAAAAAACUACUGUGAGUUAAAGAUGUCCAAAUAUCAGAUGUUAAACAAAUUCUUCCUUCAAAAUUUGCAAAAAAAAAUUUUAAAUUUUCUUUUUGUGUUUCAAAAUUUUUUAUAAGAAUUCUUUUAACUGUAUUUCCAAAGCAACCUUGAAACUGAGGAUUAACAGCUCGUUGCAUUGUUCCCGUAAAAUCAUGAGUUUCCAUGAAAUUGAAAGGUUGUUCUGCUUUUAUUAUAUAACCAAUCAUUUCUUCACGACAAUAAGAUUCAUCAUAAGAAAAUGUUUUUAAAUUUUCACUUUCAUCUUUACCUAAUUGCAUAUAAUUUCUAAUAUCUACAUUAUUUUUAGUUUUACAAUUUUCAUGAUGCCUUUUUAAAUGACUUGUACCUGCAUUUGAGUCACUACUAAGAAGUUUGUUACAAAUUUUACAUUUUGCUUUUAUUUCUUUUUUAUUAUUUUCUAAAUUUAUUUCUAUUCUAUCAAAAAAAUUCCAUAUAUUUGAAAUAAAUUUUUUGCUAUCACAUGCAUUAGAUGAAGAACAAGAACCACUUGCCAUAAUUAUAAUUAUUGAUAAAAUAUUAUGCUAAAAAUAAUAAAUGUAAAAUUAAAAUGUAACAAAUAAAUAAAAGAAAAUGUGAAGUAUGUUACUAAAUUGGAGAACCGAAGUAGAAAUUCCUUCAAAUUUGAACUCUUUGAACCACAAAUGCUUGUUUUUCAUCACCAAUAAUAUUGAAUAAUUUGAGACAAAAUGCAAUAAUUGGAAAUAUUGUGGAAUGGGAGAGAGCUUAAGAGUUGAGAGAAUAGAAAAAAUUGAGGGUAUUUAAUAUUUAUAGGGAUUUAAAUAUUAGGAUUUAUUUAUUUAUUUAUUUUUUAAAUGUCAAGACCGUUCAACGGUCAUAUAUUUGAUAUUUAUGAGUGGCAUGUUCAAUGGUCAUGCGACCGUUGAACAGCCACCUCACUUUUAUUUUUUUUCAAAAAUCAUACAACAUUUCUAAUAUAUAUAUAUAACUAAUGCAAAAUAGUUAUAUAAAAGAGGGUCAGCUCAGUUGGUGGCUAGCUCUCCUUGAAUACUCAUAUAUCCAUAAGGGAAGGGGUUUGAAUCCCCCUCCUUUCAAAACUCAAAAGUAUUUUAAUUUUUACCCAAAACCCACCCAAGCCCGUAGGCUUGCCCGCCAAGCCCGCCCAGCUUGAGGGCUCAUAGGUUGGGCCACGGGCCUUAGAUUUACCAAGGGCCUGGCCCGGCCAACGUCAACGGGCUCAGUGGCCCGCCCCGAGCUGGGCCAUGGGCCUUACUCCUCCGGGCCGGCCGGCCCGACCCGGCCCGUUGGAGACCCUUAGGUAGGUGUGCGGUGGACAAAGUUUUGACAUUUAAUCCUUACGAAUUAUUUGAUGAAAGGAUGAUGGAAUCUUGGAAUUACUUGGCCUCCUUUAAAGAUGACAUCUAAACAUUUAGUAAAUUAAUUUAAUAAAUAUCAAUUCUAUUCUACAUUAUUUCACGUUACAUCAAAAAAAUGGUAAUCAUCACACUGUUAAAUAAUAAUAAUAAUAAUAAUAAUAAUGACUAAAUCUAUGUUUGUUCUAGAAAAUGCUAAGGAAAUGACAAAAAAAUCAUGUAGAAAAUUAUUUUCUUUAGUUUGGAUGAUAUGAUUGGAAAAAAAAUGUUAAAGAAAAUAUCAUAAUAUUCUUCCUAUUAUUUUCUUUAAAAAAAUAAGAAGGAAAAUAAGAAGAAAAGAGAAGAGAAAAGUUGAAGGAAAUUUUAUCGGACUCGUUUUCACCGAGUCUCUUAUUCACCUUUGGACGACGUCGUUGGGGUCCAUAUUACAUUCCUUGAGCAUGGCGUGGAUCUCCUGCUCUGAACAGUUAACAACCUCCCUCAAGCUUUAAACCAUCUUUCUAAGCGCCGUCGGAAUUACAGAAAUCCCACCACUGCCUUUUCUAUUCACGCUGCUCACACCACCACCGCCACCACCACCACCACCUCCUCCGCUCAUGAUUUCUCUCUCUUCUUUCUCUCUACACCAAACUCUCAUAUCUUUCCUCUCUUUCUCUCCUUGGUUGCCCUAUUGAUUCUGCUGCGAUAAAACAAGAAGAUUUCUAUGCCCCCACCCUCUCUCUCUUCCUUCCUACCGAAAACCCUCUUUCUUUCUCUCUCUAAAAACUAUUUUUAUUAUUAUUUUUUGAGGAAUGAUUAUAACAUUUUGUUUUCUUUCCAUUUUUCCUUGACUUUUUUUCGUGGUUAGUUGAAUAAAAGAAAAUGAAUUCUUUUUUUGUCCCUUGAAUUUUCCAUGGAUAACAAAAAAAAAAAAAUUAUAUUUCUUUCCUUAGCUUUUUCUUUCCUUCCAUUUUUUCUCCUAAUUUUCUUUCUCUUACAUUUUCUGGAACCAAACAUAGCCUAAAUUGUUUUAUAGUUUCAUUUCAUUUUUUUAUAUUAUAUAUGCUUUUUUUUUUUGUUGGCAAUUUUAUUCAAAAGUUCAAACUUAAUCAUUUAUUGUAAGAAUUCAAAUUUUUAGCUUGAUAUAAUACUUAUCCGAUAUCAUACUAUUUUUCUUUAUAAAUUUAAGAAUUUAGACUCAAUUGAAUUCAUUUUUCAAAUAAUAAGAAUAUAUUUUAUUUCUAAAAAAAUUUAAAGAAAUAAUAAAAUAAUAUUAAAGAAUGUACGUGAUUUCCUUAUUUAAAUACCAAAUAAAAAGUUGAGGAAAUAAAAUUUUUAUUUAGUUAAAAUUUUUAUUUUUCUUUUACCUUUUAAGGUUUGGAAAAGUGUAAGGUGCCAAAUUCAUACAUAUUGAAGUUCAAAUAUGAGUUGUUAAAAGUUUAUGAUAAAAUUUUAAAAUUAAGGUAUUAAAAUAUUUUUUUAAUACCUUAAUUUUUUAAAAACCAUUAGUUUUUUAAUGCAAGAUUUUAAAAGUUCUUAUAUAAAAAGCUACUACCAUUUUCUAUUUUCAAAAAUAGAAAAUAUGAAAUAUAUAGACUGAAAACUUAGUACAUAAAUUUUUAUUUAUUGGUUAAUAAAAUUUAUAGUUAAAAUAUUUAAAAUUUAUAAAUAAAAAACAUUGCAUUUUGUUGUUAAAUAUAUAAAAACAUUUUAUUUAUAAUAAAUAAUGUUCGAUGCUAAUGUCAUUUUUAUGUUAUGCUAUAAUCAAUUUUUAAUUCUUUUUUUAAAACUAAAAUUUUAAUUUCUUUAAUUAAAAUUUUUCUUUUAAAAAUGAGUACUACAAAAAGGAAUUGAAAUAAGACUAAAUUUCCAUGAUGCUUGCAUGUGAUGACAGUUUGGCUGCCAUCUCCAUUUGUAGUCGAUUCUACAAUUUGAUCCAUGAGUAAUAUAUAUAUAUAUAUAUAUAUAAAAUGAAAUAAGAGUAAAUUUCCAUGAUGCUUGCAUGUGAUGAUAGUUUGGCUGCCAUCUCCAUUUGCAGGUUGGAAUUAGAAUCCAAGUUAAGAUUCUACAAUUUGAUCCAUGAAGUGAAGUUGGGUGAUCUACUAACUUCUAUAACUAAAUUUAUGGCUUGGAAGACCACCCCCUACUGCGAAGCUGUGUGGUGAAGGGAAGGUGCAUAUGUCCUUUCUUUGUCUCAUCUUUAAUUUUUAUUUUAUUUGAUUUGAUUUUUCCUUUAUAUUAAUUGAAAGGUUAAGGAAAAUUCCUAGCCGGUAUAAGAACUGUGUCGAGGCUGAGCUCAAGUCUUCUCUCGUCUCGUCUUUAAUUUUUUCUUUUUCCUUUUUUAUGUGUCUUUUCGUUUAUAUUAAUUGAGUGGCUAUUGGAAAUGUUUUGUCCAAAGCCAAAUAUUUAAUUCAUUGUGAGGUAAAUAAAGACAUAAACAAAGUUUAAAUAAUAAAGAAAAUAAAAGCAAAAACUUUAUAAUUCUUAAUGAAUUUAUGUUUACCCAUGGAUAAGAUUUUAUAUUUAAGUAAUUUUAUCAUCCAUGUAAUUAAACUUUAUUAAUAUUCAGAAAUCAAAUUAUGAAAAGGCCAAAACAAUUGCAAUAAUAAAAUUAUGAACACUCCCGCACAAGUAAGGCCUAUAUAAAAAGUUCUUAUUUUAUGUUAGUUUUAAGGUAAUUUAUAUAAAAAUUUACAAAGAAUAGGUAAUUAAUAAAUGACUUCACCAUUGUACCCAUGUAAACAAUAUUAAUAAAAUAAAGGGGAAUUUAUGUAACCAUACACCAAGGGGCAAAAUUUUGCCUUUUGGAAACUUAACUUUUUACUUUUCAAAUUCAAUGGAUUUUGUGAAAAAUAAACAAUCUUUCAUACACUGUAAUAGUGAUGUUGAGACCCUUCCAAAAAUACCCUCCUAUAAUUUGACAUCUCUCCUAGUUGGAUAAGUUGCUUGUUGUCCACUUAAGCCAAUGACAUGACUCAGUUACAUGUCAUCAGCCAGCUAGACAUUCCACAUGGAUUGAUGUUUUAAACAAUAUUUACCCCCAAAUAUCUUCUUCUUUCUUCAACCAAACCCUAACACCAAAAUCCAUGUUCUUUCUUAUUCGUUCACAGGCACAACCCAUCACAAGGCGAAAGGAUCCAUAAAAAAUCUGGUAGGUUCUCAAAUCGCGAUAACCCAUCAACCCCAAACGAACCUCCAAACUUGAUCUCUUAUUUUGUUUCUCCUCCAUCACCAUAAGGAAGACAACAUCUUCAUUUUCCCACCAAACAUCAAUCUGAAAACAAAAGUCCAAGUGCGAACCCCUUAACAAAGGCCAGGUAGACAAAAAAAAAACCCAUUUCCUUCUUCUUAUUUCAGGAGUGACAGUCAUUUUUCUCCUGGUUGUACUUCCUAUUUUGCUUUUACAUCGAAAAAGGAGAAAGAAAGCAAUUGAAAGAACGAGAUAACGAAGAAUAAAAAUAUUGUAGUUGCAUUUAACUUUUAAAGCAAGGGUUUUUCCAAGUGAUAUAUAUAUAUGUUAUUAAAUUUUGUAAUAACUUUAUAUUUUGAUUUGUCAUUUUGAUUCUUUGAGAUUUGAAUAAUGUCAUAGUUAUGUGAUUUGUGCAAUUUUGUGAUUUAAACUUGAUUACAUUGCAUAUUUCUACAUGUUCAAUGUCCAUUAAUAUUGUAUCUAAAUUUAUAUUUUAAUUUAUUUAGGGUUUAUUUGAAAUGAAAUAUGGCUUAAAUUUUGAUAAAUGAUGGGAAAAUGAGAUGGUGGUAAGCUAUAUUGAUUUUGUUUUAUUUCUGAAUUGUUGUGUUUGUGUUGUAUGUGGUUGUUGGGAAGAAUACAGAAAAGAGAAGAAAAAUAUGAGUAUUGCAUGUGAAGGGAAUACAAUUUUUAGGAAUGUUCAAACAAUUUGUUGUUUAAUGUUGUUUAUAUGGGAUUCGAGAUGUUUUGUUGUUUAAUGUUGUUUAUCUAGGAUUCCAAAAUGAGUAAUUUGAGUGAUCUUUUAUAGUUGUUAAUUGGUGAAUCUAAUGCAUGGGAAAAGAAUUCAUGUUUAGUCAUGAGUAGAUGAGUAUAAAUUUUAAAAAUGAUUGGGAUUAAAGUUUGAAUAAAUUUCUUAAUAAAAGUUUUGAAUUUGUAAUGAAUAAGGAUUGAAUUGAAGAAGAAAAUAAAACAAAUUUAGUAAAGCGGGCAUGAAUUUAUGUGGGAAUUAGGGAAAAUAGUAUUGGAGCCUUAGGUUCAAAAUUGAUGGUCACAACCACAAAUAUGAAAUUUGUUUUGUUUAUGUGUGUAGUGGUCAUAGUAAGGGUCUACCCUUAGAUGAAGGGGUUGGCCGUAAUUCAGUUAAUGACAUUUGGAUGAAAUUAUUGUUUUCGUAAGAGGUUGCAGUAAGUGAAUUAAAGGCUGACCCAUUUGUUUGGAGGUAGGCCCUUAGUUGUAAAUAUUGUUGUGGUUUAAUCUGGAUAGUAGGCAAAAUAAAGGCUGACCCAUUUGUUUGGAGGUCGGCCCUUGGUUGUAAACAUUGUUGUGGUUUAAUUUGGGCAGUGGGCAAAAUAAAGGUUGACCCAUUUUUUUGGAGGUCAGCCCUUGGUUGUAAACAUUAUUGUGGUUUAAGUUGGGCAGUAGGCAAAAUAAGGGUUGGCCCAAUUGUUUGGAGGUCGGCCCUUGGUUGUAACAUUGUUAUGGUUAAAUUUGGGCAGUGGGCAAAAUAAAGGUCGACCCAUUGUUUGAGGGGGUGGCUCGAAGAGAGUAAAAUUAGCACAAUUUGGCUUGAAGAGUUACCAAAACAAUGGUUAGCCCAUGAAUUGAGAGGUUCACUCCCUAACUUAUAUAACAUAACAAAUUACUACGAAGUAAAAUAGAAUAAUUGCAUUGCUUAAUGUUAAGUAUACACUAUGCAUGUCUAUAUUUACACCAUUAAUUGUAAACUAUGAAAUGUAAAUGAAGCUCGUUUGUAAAGUUUCAAAGAUAAAUGAUGUAUUAAUAUAUGAUGGUCAUAGGCAUGAUAAUCAGUUUUGUUAUAAGUAAGUUGGUUUAUGCAGUGUUAUUAAGAAAUUAGUUAAUUGUUUCAGCUUGAUUAAAGGUUCAUGCUUCUAAACAGGGGCUGCACAUGAUCGAGUAGCAUUUAAAUGGAUCCAAAUAAUACAAUUUAUUGUUAUCUGCACAUUGGAGGAGAGCUAGUAAGGGAUGAACAUGGAAAUGUGGAAUAUAUGGGUGGGAGACGAGAGGGUCUAAGUUUAGAACGAUCAAUGACAUAUAAUGAUUUUGUUUCAAGGAUUUGUGGGAAAAUGAACAUCAAUAUAGUCGGACCAACAUUUUCAUAUACUCUCCCGUUUGAUUUAUAUGCACUUCAACCAUUGAAAAAUGAUGAAGACUUGACAAACAUGUUUCAAUUUAGUGACCGAUGUGCACGUGUAUAUAUAUGUUUAGCAUCAACAGUUGAAGACGAUGAAACGAUUGAGAAUGGAGGACAAGGGUAAGUUAUAUCAAAAAAAUAUAUAAUCUUAAAUGAUUCCAUGUAUUUAUUUAUUUUGUAAUAUUUAUGCUUAUUCAUUAGAUGUUAUAAUGCAGCUUGAACGAAACAAUCGUAGGGUCUAACUCACCGGUCCCAUAUUCAACAAGAGAUGUUGAUAUUAGAAUGCAAUCACGAGGAUUUCAUCAAAGAUGUGCUGAAUCACAUGUUGGUCCACUAGAGUCAAGUCGUUUUGAGAGUGCAAUAUUGGGUAGUGGGCAUACCUUCUCAACUGCAAAUGAAUUUCGGGAUGCAAUAUAUCUCAUGUCAAUAGGAGGCCGUUUUAGAUAUAAGUUUAAGAGGAAUUGUCUUGAUUACUACUCAAAACAUGCUAUUUUGUAGCUUGUAAUUAGCUCUUUUAAACACCCUUGAGUAGUAAUUAUUACCUUUUAACCCAAUUAACAUGUUAAGGACCCUUGCAAUCCGUUUCUAACAAUUAUGUUAAGUUUUGGUGCUUUUUGAUAGCUUUAUGCUCACCAAAGCAAUUUAAGAAUGAGGGAGAGCUAUUUAUAGUUCAUGGCAAAGCUUUUGAAAGCUUAAAUUUAUGAAGAAAUCAAGCUAUGGAGCCUCAUAAUCCUUUGCCUUAUUCGUUCAAAGUAUACAAGGAAGAAACAAUGGAGAAGAGGAAAACAGGGGAUGAAAAUAGGGGACACAGCUGCAGUCUUUCAUCGCACUUUUGGAGCACUUUCUGAAGUCCAUUUUUUACAUUCUAUAUACCAUUUCAAAGCUCAGAAAGUCAAUAAUCCAACGGUUCAAACCAUGUAUGAUUUGGAGCUGAAAUGAGAAAGAUAUGGCCUUCGGAAGACAACUGCAUCAAGCUGAGGGACAAUUUCGCACACCACUGUGCAAGGUGCGAAUUCCUCAGUCCACUGUGCGAGAAUUUCGCACACCUCAAAUCAAGGUGCGAAAUUGGAACUCCAGCGUGCGAAAAUUGGAUAUUUUUGCCGACUCUUUUUCUUCUGAUAUUUUUGUGUCUAAAUUUCCAUUUUCUCCUUGUAUUCAACCACUCAUGUAAUUCCUUAGCUAGGAAGUAUCCAAGGAAGGGUAAAAUUACCUUCCUAUAUAAAUUCUCUUGUAAUCACUGAAAAGGAUCUUCGGAGCUUUCUCCAGGAGACCAACUGAUGUAAAUUUGAUACUUAGUGAAAUACAGAGAUCUCUUUUGUUUUCUUUUUCUCUCUUCUAUUUUCUAUUUCCUUGCAAGUCAAACACCCUCUGAGGAUGUUUUCCCAGAGGAUGAGAGGCUAAACAUUUAGUUUCUUGGAGUAAAGGAAGCUAGGUGAAAAGUCCAGAUUAAAACAUGGAAAGUUUCCGUGCAUUAAAUUCAGGUAGUUGGAGUCCAUAAAUGGUUUAUAAAGCCAAGGUUUUGCCUUAAAUUCCUUUGAAUCACUUUGAAUGGCCAAUACAUGGUAAGCUUAAGGUCUCUGUGGAUGCUUAUUGCUAGAUCCAUAUCAGUCCAUUAGUUAUCAUGUACGAGCCAUUGGAAAGUGAUUCAAGGUGAUAGCCCAUAGUGUCUUAAGCCAUUAAUGGACCUUGACUACCAUCUCUAGUGACUUUUUAUGGAUUAAAACUUCAUUGUCAAACCUAUACCGGUUCGGGAAAUAACUAUAGGUUAAAUCCCCAAUGCGAGGAGAAAAAUCCGGAAUUUUCCACUUUGCAUCUGGCACUUGAACCUAGCAACCUUCAGCUCCGGGAGACUUUCUUUCUUACACUUUUUACUUAGUUCUAUGUGAGUUUAGUUUAAAUCACCACUUUCAAAACAAUUUUAUUUUCUUUUAAAUUUCAAGUUUGUGCUAAAGGAAAUCAUUAGAAUCAAUUUCUAAUUUAGAGUCUGUCACUGAUAGAGUGAAAACCCAUCCCUGAGUUCGACCCUAGAACUACUAUACUAUAGUAGCUUUGCUACGCCAGUAUAAGGUCAUAGGUUUUAUAAAUGUUUUUGAUUAAAAGACCCGGCUGGGCAUCGAAUCAAAUGGCGCCGUUGCCGGGGAUGGUGCCACAAUACAGUGAUACAACCUUUUAGAGGCUACUUGUGAUUUUCAUCACAACCAGGGUGAAUUCCUUUUUCACUAAUUUCAUUUUCUUUCAUUUUUCUUUUGUUAAUUUUAUAUUCAUUUUCUUCCUAACUUUAACCUUUUCUUUAGUUUCCUUUUGUUUUUACUAUACAGGAAUUGUAACUUGUGCAUGCCCUAUUGGAUUAGGGACCAAGAGGGAAGAUUAGUAAGGAUUGAGAAUCCUCAAGACACAGAGUUGGAUAUCUGUGUAAAUAUCAUGGACCCUCCACCAGAGGAUCAGAAUUCUCAACAAGGUCAAGGGGGUAAUCCCAAUGCAUACCUAUCCAUGAGGGAUAGAAUGCAUCCCCCAAGGAUGAGUGCACCCUCAUGCAUCCUGCCCCCACUUGAGCAGUUGGUUAUAAGGCCCCAUAUUGUGCCCCUCCUACCAACUUUCCAUGGAAUGGAGAGUGAGAAUCCAUAUUCUCACAUCAAGGAGUUUGAGGAGGUGUGUAAUACCUUUAGAGAGGGAGGAGCUUCAAUAGACUUGAUGAGACUCAAGCUAUUCCCUUUCACUUUGAAAGACAAGGCAAAAAUAUGGCUUAAUUCUUUAAGGCCAAGAAGCAUAAGGAAUUGGGUUGAUCUUCAGGCUGAGUUUUUGAAAAAAAUUUUCCCCACUCAUAGGACCAAUGGGUUGAAGAGACAAAUCUCAAAUUUUUCUGCUAAAGAAAAUGAGAAGUUCCAUGAAUGUUGGGAAAGGUAUAUGGAGGCCAUCAAUGCUUGUCCUCAUCAUGGUUUUGAUACAUGGCUCUUAGUGAGCUAUUUUUAUGAUGGAAUGUCUUCUUCCAUGAAGCAAAUUCUUGAAACCAUGUGUGGGGGAGAUUUUAUGAGUAAGAAUCCUGAAGAAGCCAUGGACUUUUUAAGUUACGUGGCUGAGGUGUCAAGAGGAUGGGAUGAGCCCAACUCAAGAGAGAAAGGAAAGUUUCCCUCUCAACAAACCCAAAAUCCAAAGGCUGGAAUGUACAUGUUAAGUGAAGACGUGGACAUAAAAGCUAAAGUGGCAACAAUAGCUAGGAGGUUGGAAGAACUUGAAUUGAAAAAAAUACACGAAGUCCAAGCCAUUUCCGAUACCCAAGUCAUGUUAUGCCAUGCACCAUUUGCCAAUCAUGUGAUCAUGUGGUAGAUGAGUGUCCAACCAUGCCAGCUGUGAGAGAGAUGUUAGGUGAUCAAGUAAAUGUUGUGGGGCAAUUUAGGCUCAACAACAAUGCAUCUUAUGGAAACACCUAUAAUUCAAGCUGGAGAAACCACCCAAAUUUUUCUUGGAAACCAAGGACACCUCCAUACCAACCACAAGGCCAAACCCAAGUACCUCAACAACCAUCUUCAGUGGAGCAAGCCAUUGUAAACCUGAGUAAAGUCAUGGGUGACUUUGUGGGUGAACAAAAGGCAAUUAACUCCCAAUUGCAUCAAAAGAUUGAAAAUGUUGAGAGCUCUCAAAUAAAGAGAAUGGAGGGGAUGCAAAAUGAUCUAUCUCAGAAGAUAGAUAAUAUUCAGUACUCCAUCUCUAGGCUUACCAACCUAAACACAGUGAUUGAGAAGGGAAAGUUCCCCUCUCAACCAAGCCAAAAUCCCAAGGGUGUUCAUGAAGUUGAAACCCAAGAUGGUGAGUCUUCAAAUUUGAGGGAGGUUAAAGCUGUGAUCACUUUAAGGAGUGGAAAAGAGGUUGAUCAACCCCUGCCUAAGGUGGGGCAUGAUGAAGAACUCAUAUCAAAGAGACCCUUGAUUAAUGAGAGCAAAAGCCAAGAAGAGAAGAGUGGGAAGAAGAGUGCAUCCAAAUCAAGCAUCGAGGAAGAACCAAGGAUAGUGAUUAAGGAGGAUAUGAUGAAGAAACAUAUGCCUCCCCCUUUUCCUCAAGCUUUACAUGGAAAGAAAGAAAUCAAGAAUUCAUCAGAAAUUCUUGAGGUUCUGAGACAAGUGAAGGUGAAUAUACCCUUACUUGAUAUGAUCAAACAAGUCCCCACAUAUGCAAAGUUUCUAAAAGACUUGUGCACAGUCAAAAGAGGUUUACAGGUGACAAAGAAUGCAUUCCUCACUGAGCAAGUGAGUGCUAUCAUCCAGAGUAAGUCCCCAGUUAAGUAUAAAGAUCCGGGAUGUCCCACCAUAUCAGUCAACAUUGGAGGGACACAUGUGGAAAAAGCUUUAUUAGAUUUGGGAGCAAGUGUGAAUUUGCUCCCAUACUCUGUGUAUAAACAAUUGGGACUAGGAGGAUUAAAGCCCACAACCAUGACCCUCUCCUUAGCUGAUAGGUCGGUCAAAAUCCCAAGAGGAGUGAUAGAGGAUGUUCUAGUUCAAGUGGACAAAUUCUACUAUCCUGUGGAUUUUGUGGUGCUUGAUACUGAUUCCACUGUCAAGGAAGAAAAUUAUGUACCAAUCAUCCUAGGGAGACCUUUCCUAGCUACCUCCAAUGCUAUUGUUAAUUGUAGGAAUGGGGUGAUGCAGCUCACAUUUGGAAACAUGACAUUGGAAUUAAACAUAUUCCAUUUAUGUAAGAGGCAUCUUUACCCUGAUGAGGAGGAAGGAUUUGAGGAGGUGUGCUUGAUCAACACUUUGGUUGAAGAGCACUGUGACAAGAGUUUAGAGGAGAGCUUGAAUGAAAACCUGGAAGUCCUUGAAGAUGGGUUCCUUGAACCCUCUGAUGUGCUAGCCAUUAUGUCUCCUUGGAGGAGACGGGAAGAGAUCUUACCACUGUUCAACCAGGAAGACUCUGAAGGAGUUGCUGUGGAGGACCCUCCAAAGCUUAUUUUAAAGCCACUUCCUGUGGGUUUGAAGUAUGCAUACUUGGAGGAUGAUGAGAAAUGUCCAGUGGUAGUUUCCUCAACCCUCACUAGUGAUCAAGAGGAUAGUCUUUUAGGAGUCCUCAGAAAAUGUAAGAAAGCCAUAGGAUGGAAAAUUUUUGAUCUUAAAGGGAUUAGCCCUUUGGUGUGCACCCACCAUAUUUAUAUGGAGGAAGAUGCAAAACCAGUGAGGCAACCCCAAAGGAGACUGAAUCCUCACAUGCAAGAAGUGGUGAGGAAUGAAGUUUUGAAGCUACUUCAAGCUGGGAUCAUAUAUCCCAUCUCAGACAGCUUGUGGGUGAGUCCCACCCAAGUAGUCCCAAAGAAAUCUGGAAUCACUGUGAUCCAGAAUGAGAAAGGGGAGGAAGUCUCUACACGUCCUACCUCAGGAUGGAGGGUGUGUAUAGACUAUAGGAGGUUGAAUUCAGUGACUAGGAAGGACCAUUUUCCAUUGCCUUUCAUGGACCAAGUCCUUGAGAGAGUCUCAGGACAUCCUUUCUAUUGUUUUCUAGAUGGUUAUUCAGGGUACUUCCAAAUAGAAAUUGAUUUGGAAGAUCAAGAAAAGACGACCUUCACUUGUCCCUUUGGUACUUUUGCAUAUAGGAGAAUGCCCUUUGGUCUAUGUAAUGCUCCUGCAACUUUCCAAAGAUGCAUGCUAAGCAUCUUCAGUGAUAUGGUGGAACGCAUCAUGGAAGUUUUCAUGGAUGACAUCACUGUAUAUGGAAGUUCUUAUGAGGAGUGUUUGAUGCAUUUAGAAGCUGUUCUCCAUAGAUGUAUUGAGAAAGACCUAGUGCUAAAUUGGGAGAAGUGCCAUUUUAUGGUGCAAAAAGGAAUUGUCUUAGGACAUAUCAUCUCCAAAAAUGGCAUUGAGGUAGAUAAGGCAAAGGUGGAGCUGAUUGUUAAGUUGCCACCUCCCACAAAUGUUAAAGGAAUUAGGCAAUUCCUUGGACAUGCCGGGUUCUAUAGGAGGUUCAUUAAGGAUUUCUCAAAAAUCUCAAAACCUCUGUGUGAGCUUUUGGUAAAGGAUGCCAAGUUUGUGUGGGAUGAGAAGUGUCAGAGAAGUUUUGAGGAAUUGAAACAAUUCCUCACAACUGCACCAAUAGUGAGAGCCCCAAAUUGGAAAUUACCUUUUGAGGUAAUGUGUGAUUCAAGUGAUCUUGCUAUGGGGGCUGUUUUGGGGCAAAGAGAGGAUGGAAAGCCCUAUGUGAUCUAUUAUGCAAGCAAAACUUUGAAUGAGGCUCAAAAGAACUACACAACUACUGAGAAGGAGUUGUUGGCAGUAGUUUUUGCCUUGGAUAAGUUUCGUGCUUAUUUGGUAGGGUCCUCUAUAGUGGUGUUCACUGACCAUUCUGCUUUGAAGUACUUGCUAACCAAGCAGGAUGCCAAGGCAAGAUUGAUAAGAUGGAUUCUUUUGCUCCAAGAAUUCAAUCUCCAAAUCAGGGAUAAAAAGGGGGUAGAAAAUGUGGUAGCUGACCACUUGUCCAGACUUGUGAUAGCACAUGACUCACAUGGUCUGCCUAUCAAUGAUGACUUCCCUGAGGAGUCUCUCAUGUCAGUAGAUGUAGCUCCAUGGUAUUCUCACAUUGCAAACUUUUUGGUUACUGGAGAAGUACCAAGUGAGUGGAGUGCUCAAGACAAGAGACAUUUCUUGGCUAAGAUCCAUGCCUAUUAUUGGGAGGAACCUUUUCUUUUCAAAUAUUGUGCAGAUCAAAUUAUAAGGAAAUGUGUUCCUGAGCAAGAGCAAUCGGGAAUUCUUUCCCAUUGCCAUGAUAGUGCAUGUGGAGGUCAUUUUGCCUCCCAGAAAACAGCUAUGAAAGUGAUCCAAUCAGGCUUCUGGUGGCCCUCUCUUUUCAAGGAUGCCCAUUCUAUGUGCAAGGGAUGUGAUCGGUGUCAAAGGCUUGGUAAGCUAACACGCCGAAAUAUGAUGCCCUUGAACCCCAUCUUAAUAGUGGAUAUCUUUGAUGUCUGGGGUAUAGACUUCAUGGGACCAUUUCCAAUGUCGUUUGGACAUUCCUACAUCUUGGUAGGAGUGGAUUAUGUCUCUAAGUGGGUAGAAGCAAUCCCAUGUAGGAGCAAUGAUCAUAAAGUGGUACUUAAAUUCCUCAAGGACCACAUCUUUGCAAGAUUUGGAGUGCCAAAAGCCAUUAUAAGUGACGGGGGAACCCACUUUUGCAAUAAACCUUUUGAGACUCUUCUAGCCAAGUAUGGGGUUAAGCACAAGGUAGCUACACCUUAUCACCCCCAAACAAGUGGCCAAGUUGAGUUAGCUAACCGAGAGAUCAAGAAUAUAUUGAUGAAGGUGGUUAAUGUGAAUAGGAAGGAUUGGUCUAUCAAGCUCCUGGAUUCCUUAUGGGCUUAUAGGACAGCUUACAAGACCAUUCUAGGAAUGUCUCCCUAUCGCCUUGUUUAUGGCAAAGCGUGUCAUCUUCCAGUAGAGAUUGAGUAUAAAGCAUGGUGGGCAAUCAAAAAGCUCAACAUGGAUUUGACAAGAGCCGGGUUAAAGAGAUGUUUGGAUUUGAAUGAAUUGGAGGAAAUGAGGAAUGAUGCAUACCUCAAUUCAAAAAUUGCAAAAGCAAGAUUGAAAAAAUGGCAUGAUCAGUUGGUAAAUCAGAAAAAUUUUACCAAAGGACAAAAAGUUUUGCUUUAUGACUCUAAACUUCAUCUCUUUCCAGGAAAGUUGAAAUCCAGGUGGACGGGUCCUUUCAUAAUUCAUGAAGUGCAUCCCAAUGGAGUGGUGGAAGUAUUCAAUCCCACAGGCAAUCAAACCUUCAAAGUUAAUGGCCAUCGUCUCAAGCCAUUCAUAGAGCCUUACAGUACAGACAAGGAGGAGAUCAACCUCCUUGAACCACCACAACUCUGAGGGAAAGCAGGGUAUCAUGGGCUAAAUAAGUCCAUGAAUUUUUUGUUAUAGUUUUAUAGUUAUAUCAUUAUUUUUAUUUCUUUUUAUUAUAAUUUUUCCUCAAUCUUAGUUUAUUUUGUCUUAAUUCAAGUCAAUUUUGAUGAUAAAUUUCAGAAAAAAAUCAUGAAAGAUGGGGAGAACUCUUCAAAAGCAAGACAGGGGAGUAAAACCAAGGAAACAGAGCACCUGAUUUCAAGGUGCGAAAAUUUCGCACACCCCAAAACCAAGGUGCGAAAUCCUCGGUCCAAAGGAGCCAUUUUCGCACACCCCAAAACCAAGGUGCGAAAUUUUGUUCAAGGUGCGAAAAAUGAUUUCAAGGUGCGAAUUCCCUAAAAACCAUUUUCGCACACCACUGUGCAAGGUGCGAAAAUUUUCGCACUAUGCGAAAUCUCCUCCUGGCACACGAGUGCCAUUUUCGCACACCUCAAGCCACUUUUCGCACCGUGCGAAACAAGGUGCGAAAAUUUCGCACACCUGAUUUCAAGGUGCGAAAAUUUCGCACACCUCAUUUUAAGGUGCGAAAUCCUCAGCUAAAGGGGUGCCAUUUUCGCACACCUAAUUUCAAGGUGCGAAAUUUGCAGGCCAAGGUGCGAAAAUUUCGCACGGUAAAAUUUUAAGUUCCAAAAAUUUUAAACGGACUUUUAAAUUAAAAUUUUACCCCCGAAAUUGUGCCUAACGUCCAAAAACGACUUUUCGGUUGCCUUGGAAAAUUUUAAAACAUCAAAAACCCCCUAAACCUCAUUCCUAUAUAAUCCCUUGAAGACCAGAAGCUCAAAGGACUCCCCCACGAACCAGCUGAGAAGCCUCUGGAAUCCCAAACAGUCGCCCACCUCCAUUUCGGCCAUGGCGAAGACCAGAGGAGGCCUUUCCGGCUCCCCAUCCUCACCGACACCUCGACCACAUCGAGCCGCCAUGGGAGCCGCAGCUUCGCCACCUGUUCAGGCCCCGGACAUUCCCCCAUCUGAGGGGGAAGCCCCUUCUCAGCGCCGAUACCCCACCAGGAGAUCACCCGCGGACCCUGUGCCACCCGCCGACCAAGCUCAGAGACCUGCUUCUCGGCCCCCUGCCAAGAGAACCAAGUUCUCGGGUCCUGGAGAGUCAGAGCCGCCUACAGAGGAGCCUCGGAUUCCUGUGGAGAUUACCCCCGAGACCCUUAUCAGGCGUCCCAUGAUAGCCGGACCACCGAUAGAGGGCAACUUGGAUUGCAGAGAUCGAUCCUUCCACUCCGAGACCUACUUUGAUAUAGAGGCCCUCAAACAGCAGCCAGAGCUCAGAGAUUCAUUCCGACUGCUGCAGAGGUAUCACAUGGAGGAUCUUCUCACUCCUAGGCAAUUCUACUAUCCCAGAGUAGUUAUAGAUUUUUAUCAAUCUAUGACUACUCGUGGCCUCCGCAAUCCUACCCUCAUCCAAUUUACCAUAGACGGACGCCAGGGUGCCAUUGGAGCUCGCCACAUUGCUGAGGCCCUCCGUAUACCUUAUGAGCCUGUGAUUCAGGCAGAUUUCAGGGAGUGGUCCUCAUUCUCUCAGAGCGACAUGGUCCGCAUUUUGUCCAGGGGGACUUCUACAACAUCAGUGUUGACUAGGAGAGAGCUUCCAUCUGGGAUGCUCCUUAUUGAUGUGCUCCUGCGUGCCAACCUUUUCCCCCUUCAGCACAAAGUUCAGAGGCGAGGAGCUAUACUUGAGGCGUUAUUUAGGAUUUCUGAGGGCUAUUUCUUCGGCCCUCAUCAUUUGAUUAUGACUUCUCUUCUUCAUUUUGAAGAGAAAGUCCAUCAGAAGAAGCUUCAAAGGGCAGAUGGCAUCCCAUUACUAUUUCCGAGGCUCCUCUACCAGAUUUUAGAGCACCUGGGCUAUCCUGAACAGCCCCGUCUUGAGAGGCGCCGCCAUUGCCGAGAGGACUUCUCUCUCGACAAAUGGCAUCACUUGGUAGCCUACUUUGCACCCCAGGGAGCCCCAGCUGUGCCUGCACCUCCAGAGCUACCCCAAGAUGAGCAGAUGCCUCAGGCCCAGCAGGAUGAGAUUCUCACAGAGACCACACCUCCUGCCCCUGCAGCACACCCCUCAGAGCAUAUUCCUGAGCCUAUACAUCCUAUUUCUCCUAUCACUUCGGGUGCUCCACCAGUCAUGCCAGCUACCCCAGCACCUCCUCUUUCAUCUGAGCCCACUGUCACCGUUUCUCUUACGGAAUUCAGAGGCUUAGAGCGUUCAUUGCGGACACUGAGCACUGCUCAGGAUUCUAUUAUCCACCAGAUGGCCACUAUUCGGGCACACCAGGAUCAGAUCAUUGCUACUCAGGCCCAGCAUACCACGAUCCUUCAUCAGAUUCAGCAACAUUUGAGUUUGCAGACACCUUUUGGGCAUGAUAGGUCUGCACCAUCCGAGCCUCUAGAGCUAGAUACGGAAAGCUUACUAGCUGAGCAGCCCAUACCAGAGGAGGAGAUCAGAGCAGAGCCAUCACAUGACACCCCUCAUAUUUGAUAUUUUUAUAUUUUACUUGUUUUUUAUUUUAGACUUGUAAAUCCCAUCUUUUGCAUGUGUUAUAAACUGGGAUUGGAAGUAUUACUUGAAAUCAUACAUUGUAUAUUUCUUUUACAAGUAAUAUAUAUAUAUAUAUAUAUAUAUAUAUAUCCUUUUUGAUUAUAUUCCCUUUUCUCAUUACUCUUUUGUCCUUGGAACAUGUGGUUUAAGGUACUCCAUACCUCCUUUACACUCAGACUUUGUCUCACUCAGGAGGUACCACUUCCUCCCUUUAUUUUUAAUUGGGGGGAGAGUUGAGAAAGGAAGUUUUGUGUUAAUACUAAGUUAUUUUGGUAUUUUUAGUUGAUUUUGGUAUUUUUAGUUGAUUUUUGCUUAAAAUUUAAAAUUUUUAAAAGUUUUUUGAAUCAUUCUCUAUGGUUGUUAAAGAUAAUUUCUCAAAAAUAAAAUAGGAUAAGUCGAGUUUUAACUUAAUUAUUUAAGUCUUAGAGUUUGUUUUAUGCUUUCAAAGUUGAUAAUCUAUUGAAGCCUCUUUGAUUUAGAACUUUCUUCUUCCAUUUCAAGCUUUACACACACUGUGCACAUUAGAUCCCGGAUAUAUGAUGUAAAACUUUCUACCUUCUAAGCUUAGAAAAAUUUUGACUUGGUUCAUUACUUAACCUCUCUUUAAUAGUGUUGGAACACCUCAUAAAGACCAAUGAGUCUUUGAAAAAAAAAAAAAAAAAAAAAAGAAGAAUAAGCUUCUAUUCUUUCCUUGAAACCUAAGCAUGAUCCGAAGGGGUAGCGAAAGCCUUUAAAACCCGAUGCCCUAAACCUUGAUUGGUUGGGAGUCAUCGAUCCUCUGCUUGCUACAUAGGUGAAUUGGUUAAGAUUAGUGAGUAAAAAGAAUUGUGAAUAAGAAGGUGUGUUCCUAACCUAUUAAGAGUUGAUUAAUUUUGCCAAUGUUCGAGAAAAGCUUAGGUUGGAGGGUGAGGAUAGUUGUAUAUACUAUAUCCGGAAGCUAAUCUCGUUAACACUUAGCUUAUUAUGGAAGAGUUUGAUUUGGAACCUUGAGAGUAGAGAUUCUUUUGAUACCUAAUUGCAUAAUCUCCACUCUUUGUACUUUUUGUUUAAGUUUUAAGCUUUGAUAACUCCUGUUGCAUUUUGAAUCUUCAUAUCUUUAGUUAGCCAGGUGAGAUGAGUUUGGAUAUCAGUCAUGCCUCUCAAUUAUUUUUUGGAAAUGAAUUGCAUGACCUCUUUUAUGUAUAUUAUUACGUUUGCUUAGUUUUUCUCUCCUUAAUUGCUAAGGGACUAGCAAUAUGUCGGUUGGGGGGAGUGAUUACUACUCAAAACAUGCUAUUUUGUAGCUUGUAAUUAGCUCUUUUAAACACCCUUGAGUAGUAAUUAUUACCUUUUAACCCAAUUAACAUGUUAAGGACCCUUGCAAUCCGUUUCUAACAAUUAUGUUAAGUUUUGGUGCUUUUUGAUAGCUUUAUGCUCACCAAAGCAAUUUAAGAAUGAGGGAGAGCUAUUUAUAGUUCAUGGCAAAGCUUUUGAAAGCUUAAAUUUAUGAAGAAAUCAAGCUAUGGAGCCUCAUAAUCCUUUGCCUUAUUCGUUCAAAGUAUACAAGGAAGAAACAAUGGAGAAGAGGAAAACAGGGGAUGAAAACAGGGGACACAGCUGCAGUCUUUCAUCGCACUUUUGGAGCACUUUCCGAAGUCCAUUUUUUACAUUCUAUAUACCAUUUCAAAGCUCAGAAAGUCAAGAAUCCAACGGUUCAAACCAUGUACGAUUUGGAGCUGAAAUGAGAAAGAUAUGGCGUUCGGAAGACAACUGCAUCAAGCUGAGGGACAAUUUCGCACACCACUGUGCAAGGGUGCGAAUUCCUCAGUCCACUGUGCGAGAAUUUCGCACACCUCAAAUCAAGGUGCGAAAUUGGAACUCCAGCGUGCAAAAAUUGGAUAUUUUUGCCGACUCUUUUUCUUCUGAUAUUUUUGUGUCUAAAUUUCCAUUUUCUCCUUGUAUUCAACCAUUCAUGUAAUUCCUUAGCUAGGAAGUAUCCAAGGAAGGGUAAAAUUACCUUCCUAUAUAAAUUCUCUUGUAAUCACUGAAAAGGAUCUUCGGAGCUUUCUCCAGGAGACCAACUGAUGUAAAUUUGAUACUUAGUGAAAUACAGAGAUCUCUUUUGUUUUCUUUUUCUCUCUUCUAUUUUCUAUUUCCUUGCAAGCCAAACACCCUCUGAGGAUGUUUUCCCAGAGGAUGAGAGGCUAAACAUUUAGUUUCUUGGAGUAAAGGAAGCUAGGUGAAAAGUCCAGAUUAAAACAUGGAAAGUUUCCGUGCAUUAAAUUCAGGUAGUUGGAGUCCAUAAAUGGUUUAUAAAGCCAAGGUUUUGCCUUAAAUUCCUUUGAAUCACUUUGAAUGGCCAAUACAUGGUAAGCUUAAGGUCUCUGUGGAUGCUUAUUGCUAGAUCCAUAUCAGUCCAUUAGUUAUCAUGUACGAGCCAUUGGAAAGUGAUUCAAGGUGAUAGCCCAUCUAAGCCAUUAAUGGACCUUGACUACCAUCUCUAGUGACUUUUUAUGGAUUAAAACUUCAUUGUCAAACCUAUACCGGUUCGGGAAAUAACUAUAGGUUAAAUCCCCAAUGCGAGGAGAAAAAUCCGGAAUUUUCCACUUUGCAUCUGGCACUUGAACCUAGCAACCUUCAGCUCCGGGAGACUUUCUUUCUUACACUUUUUACUUAGUUCUAUGUGAGUUUAGUUUAAAUCACCACUUUCAAAACAAUUUUAUUUUCUUUUAAAUUUCAAGUUUGUGCUAAAGGAAAUCAUUAGAAUCAAUUUCUAAUUUAGAGUCUGUCACUGAUAAAGUGAAAACCCAUCCCUGAGUUCGACCCUAGAACUACUAUACUAUAGUAGCUUUGCUACGCCAGUAUAAGGUCAUAGGUUUUAUAAAUGUUUUUGAUUAAAAGACCCGGCUGGGCAUCGAAUCAUGUCUUAAGCAUAUGACUGUAAUAUGUGUUGUUGAAGGAUGCCCUUGGAAAGUAACUGCUCGUGCUGUUGGGAGAACAAAAAUAGUUCAAGUGCAUACAUUUAUAAAUGAACAUAACCACUCUUUAGAAGAUGUGUCAAUUUCCGAACCAGUAGUUCGUUGUAAUCGAGCCACAGCUAUGAUUGAUGAUGUUAUUCGUUCAAAUCCAGAUUACUUACCCCGUCAAAUAUGUAAAGACUUUCGUCGACAAUACGGAAUGCAAUUGAAUUAUUGUCAAGCAUGGAACUUGAAAGAGAAGGCUAAAGAACGAAUUCAUGGUGUGCUGCAAUGUUCAUAUAAGUUGUUACCUUGGUUAUGUACAAGGCUUAUUGAAACAAAUCCAGGGACGAUUGCUGAAUAUAGAUGUUCGGAUGAUGGUCAUUUUAUGCAAUUGUUUGUUGCCCUUUCAGUGUCAAUUCAUGGGUUUCAACUAGGAUGUCGGCCUAUUAUAUCAAUAGAUUCAUCCCACAUGAGUGGGCCAUACAAGGGUGCUUUAUUUUCAGCUUCUUCCUAUGAUGCUGACGAUGACAUGUUUCCACUUGCUUAUGGCUUAUUUAGCUCUGAGAAUUACGAGGAUUAACUUUGGUUUUUAGAGAAAUUGAAUAUGGUCAUAGGUGAAAGAGAUGUUAUAAUAAUAUCUGAUAGGCACAAAAGGAUUAUCCGUAGUGUUUCAGAGGUAUUUGGUAGUGAAAACCAUGCACAUUGCUAUCGUCACAUUAAAGAAAACUUCAGUAGCUUUCUAACAAAGCUAAACACUAAAGGGAGGAAAGGAAAGGAAAAUGCUUUGCAAAUGCUUGAUUCUAUCGCCUAUGUUAGGUUAGAUUGUGAUUAUGAGGUUGCAAUGGAUACUUUAAGGACAUUUAAUCAUGAUUUGGCGAAGUGGGUUGAAGAAAAUAACCCUCAACAUUGGGCAAUCUCUAAAUUUAAGAAGAUGCGUUGGGAUAAGAUGACAAGUAAUUUGGCCGAGUCUUUCAAUUCUUGGUUAAGACAUGAACGACACCAUAACAUUUGUGUUUUCUUCAUCGAGCAUAUGGAUAAGUUAGGAUCUCUUUUAGUCAAGCAUAAAAAUGGACUUGUAAAAUGGAAUGGGUGUAUUGGUCCUAAAACAGAAGAAAAGAUUGCAUUGAACAUUGGAAAAGGUGAAAAUUAUAUCACUUAUUUACACUUAGGUAGUUCGAUGAAAGUAUCCAAUGGAAAAGCAUUCCUGGAAGUGGACUUAAUGGAGCGAACUUGCACAUGUAAAGCAUGGCAAAUGUCUGGAAUCCCAUGUGAUCAUGCUUGUGCAGCUAUACGGCGAAUGGGGUUUGAUGUAUCUGAUUAUGUUGAUGACUGGUAUAAGUACAAUUUGCAAGAGAAGAUAUACUCUGGAAGCAUGCGUACUUUGGUAACGCAUGACAUGCCAAUGAUUGAUGAAGAUGGAACCGUUCGUGAUGCCUUGGGUCAUACUUAUCCCUUUCUUAAUCCUCCAACCACAAAGCGACCUCCUGGAAGACCUAGGAAACGUCGAAUCGAGUCUCAAUUCAUGUAAAAAAAAACAAUUCAUUGUUCUCAUUGUAAUUAGCCUGGGCAUAAUCGUGCGACAUGUAACAACCCAUUGCUGUAAGUUUUUUUUUAUUAAACUUCAUAAUGUAAGAUCGACUUUAUAUUAGUAUGAAAUAGUUUGGUAAUCUUCGUUACUGUUUCAUUGAUUAUAAGCAAUGAGUAAUUUAUUGGAUUUGAAGUGUUUGGUGUACAUAUAUUGUGAUUGUAUGUUGUUCUUCAAUAUUAUGGGAUAUGUUACAUGAUAAUGUAAUUGUAAUAGAAAAAUAUGUACCUUGGUCAUUAUUGUUCAAAGAUGGCAUUGAAGUGACAUAGAUUCAUAUGGCGUCCUUGGCAAAAAAACGAGAUUGUUAACUAGUGGGCAUAAUCGUGGCGAACCUUUACAUGUAGGGGCUGCUACUUUUUGGCUGAUGACCCUUAAGCAUAUUAUUUAGUUUUGUGUGAAAUGGGCAGUAGCCAAAAUAAGGUUGUGCCUAUUAGAUCAUAGGCAACCCUAUCGUUUUUCAUCUUUAAAAUUGGUUUCGUGUUAUGUGAGGUGUCUGUAAAAGGGAGGUUGAACCAUUAACACCAUGGGAAGACAUUCGAACAUUAGUUUAGUAUGUUAUGUGUAGAAGGCAAUCUAGGGGCGCACCUUCCAUUUGAAAGGCAUGCCUAUGUGUUAAUGAUAUUAUAUAACUAUACUACAUGCAGAAGGCAAAGCAGGGGUGCACCCUUGGUUGCAUAGGUAUGCCCAUGGGUAUGAUAACUUUAUUGGGAAAUUCUAUAUGCAGUAUGCAAAGUAGGGGCACACCCUUGAUUUUAGGGGCAUGCCUAUUGCUAAAACCAUUAUAUUGGUAGGCUAUGUGCAGUAGUCAACCUAAGAGCAAAACCUUGAUGGAAGACACAUAAAUGUGGGUGAAAAACUUCUUUUUGUUAAGCUACUUGCAGUAGGAAAAAGAAAGACAUGACUCUCUAUCAGAGGCAUGCCUUUAGGAUGACUAGAGUUGAGGUGUGGGUUGGGCAGUAAGGCAAAUGGAGGCAUACUGAUAGCUUAAAGGUUGGCCCUUGAUGUUCAUAUGAAAUAAACGUUGGAAAUGAUUCCUUGUUGAUUCAAAAUCAUAGAUUUUUUCUAAAAAUUUAAUUGUUCAAUUUUUAAUUUAUUUUUUAUUAUCUUAAUUUUUUUAACUACUUUUUUUAUUUAGCUCAUUAAUAAUUUUUUUUUAUUUAUCCGUUUACUUUUAUUUAAUUUCAAAAUUUUGUAUUUUUAAAUAUUACAAAAAUAGUUGUGCUUAGAAUAUGUUACAAUAUAACAAAAAAUAUAAUGAAGUCCUAAUAUUUUAUAACUAAAAAUUAAUUUGAUUAGAUAAAUGAUUAAUAAUUUUAAUUAUUUAAAUAAAUUAAUUUUAAUAGAAAAAUUGCCACCACAUAUUUGUAAUAAAUUUUUAGAAAUCAUAUCUCAAAUCAAAUAUUUGAUAUAAAUCAAUUUAGUUUUUAUUUAAAAUUUAAUAAAAUAUAUUUUAAUAAAAGUAUUUUUUAAUUUUAAAAUAAAUAACUUAAAUAUAUUAAAUGUAAUUAUGACCCAUCCAUGCUCAGAUGGGGGUCCCGGAAUCACUAGACUUGGAUGUACCAAAUUCAAUGAAGGAUGUACCAAAUUUAAUUAAGGAUGUACCAAAUUUUGUUAAAGAUGUACUAAGGGCUCCAAAGUGUGAUACGAAGUGGGGAUCGGCUCCAAAUCACUCUGUUAUGGGUUUCUAAAUAAAAUAGUGGCUCAUCCAUGGUCAGAAGAGGGUCCCGCAAUCACUAAGCUCGGAUAGACCAAAUUUAAUGAAGGAUGUACCAAAUUUUGUGAAGGAUGUACCAAGGGUUCGAAAAUGCGUUCCGAAGUGGGGAUCGACCCCCAAUCACUUUGUUAUGGGUUUCUUAAAGAAAUUACAGACCAUCCAUGUUGAAAUGGGGGUCUCAGAAUCUAUCGGAUCGGAUGUACCAAAUUUAAUGAAGGAUGUACCAAAUUUUGUGAAGGAUGUACCAAAUUUUGUGAAUGAUGUACCAAGGGUCCAAAAAUGCUUUCCGAAGUGGGGAUCGGCCCCAAAUCACUUUGUUUUGGGUUUUUAAAUGAAAUAGUGGCUCAUCCACGGUCAGAAGAGGGUCCCGGAAUCACUAGGAUCGGAUAUACCAAAUUUUGUGAAGGAUGUAACAAGGGUCCGAAAAUGCGUUCCGAAGUGGGGAUCGACCCCCAAUCACUUUGUUAUGGGUUUCUAAAUGAAAUUAUCGACCAUCCAUGUUGAAAUGGGGGUCUCAGAAUCUGUCGGAUCGGAUGUACCAAAAUUUAAUGAAGGAUGUACCAAAUUUUGUGAAGGAUGUACCAAAUUUUGUGAAUGANNNNNNNNNNNNNNNNNNNNNNNNNNNNNNNNNNNNNNNNNNNNNNNNNNNNNNNNNNNNNNNNNNNNNNNNNNNNNNNNNNNNNNNNNNNNNNNNNNNNGGGAUCGACCCCCAAUCACUUGUUAUGGGUUUCUAAAGAAAUUACAGACCAUCCAUGUUGAAAUGGGGGUCUCAGAUCUAUCGGAUCGGAUGUACCAAAUUUAAUGAAGGAUGUACCAAAUUUUGUGAAGGAUGUACCAAAUUUUGUGAAUGAUGUACCAAGGGUCCAAAAAUGCUUUCCGAAGUGGGGAUCGGCCCCAAAUCACUUUGUUUUGGGUUUUUAAAUGAAAUAGUGGCUCAUCCACGGUCAGAAGAGGGUCCCGGAAUCACUAGGAUCGGAUAUACCAAAUUUUGUGAAGGAUGUAACAAGGGUCCGAAAAUGCGUUCCGAAGUGGGGAUCGACCCCCAAUCACUUUGUUAUGGGUUUCUAAAUGAAAUUAUGGACCAUCCAUGUUGAAAUGGGGGUCUCAGAAUCUGUCGGAUCGGAUGUACCAAAUUUAAUGAAGGAUGUACCAAAUUUUGUGAAGGAUGUACCAAAUUUUGUGAAUGAUGUACCAAGGGUCCAAAAAUGCUUUCCGAAGUGGGGAUCGGCCCCAAAUCACUUUGUUUUGGGUUUUUAAAUGAAAUAGUGGCUCAUCCACGGUCAGAAGAGGGUCCCGGAAUCACUAGGAUCGGAUAUACCAAAUUUUGUGAAGGAUGUAACAAGGGUCCGAAAAUGCGUUCUGAAGUGGGGAUCGACCCCCAAUCACUUUGUUAUGGGUUUCCUAAAGAAAUUAUGGACCAUCCAUGUUGAAAUGGGGGUCUUGGAAUCUGUCGGAUCGGAUGUACCAAAUUUAAUGAAGGAAGGAUGUACCAAAUUUUGUGAAUGAUGUACCAAGGGUCCAAAAAUGCUUUCCGAAGCGGGGAUCAACCCCAAAUCACUUUGUUAUGGGUUUUUAAAUGAAAUAGUGGCUCAUCCACGGUCAGAAGAGGGUCCAAGAAUCACUAGGAUCGGAUGUACCAAAUUUUGUGAAGGAUAUACCAAGGGUCCGAAAAUGCGUUCCGAAGUGGGGAUCGACCCCCAAUCACUUUGUUAUGGGUUUCUUAAAGAAAUUACAGACCAUCCAUGUUGAAAUGGGGGUCUCGGAAUCUAUCGGAUCGGAUGUACCAAAUUUAAUGAAGGAUGUACCAAAUUUUGUGAAGGAUGUACCAAAUUUUGUGAAUGAUGUACCAAGGGUCCAAAAAUGCUUUCCGAAGUGGGGAUCGGCCCCAAAUCACUUUGUUUUGGGUUUUUAAAUGAAAUAGUGGCUCAUCCACGGUCAGAAGAGGGUCCCGGAAUCACUAGGAUCGGAUAUACCAAAUUUUGUGAAGGAUGUAACAAGGGUCCGAAAAUGCGUUCCGAAGUGGGGAUCGACCCCCAAUCACUUUGUUAUGGGUUUUUAAAUGAAAUUAUGGACCAUCCAUGUUGAAAUGGGGGUCUCGGAAUCUGUCGGUUCGGAUGUACCAAAUUUAAUGAAGGAUGUACCAAAUUUUGUGAAGGAUGUACCAAAUUUUGUGAAUGAUGUACCAAGGGUCCAAAAAUGCUUUCCGAAGUGGGGAUCGACCCCAAAUCACUUUGUUAUGGGUUUUUAAAUGAAAUAGUGGCUCAUCCACGGUCAGAAGAGGGUCCCGGAAUCACUAGGAUCGGAUGUACCAAAUUUUGUGAAGGAUGUACCAAGGGUCCGAAAAUGCGUUCCAAAGUGGGGAUCGACCCCCAAUCACUUUGUUAUGGGUUUCUUAAAGAAAUUACUGACCAUCCAUGUUGAAAUGAGGGUCUCGAAAUCUGUCGGAUCGGAUGUACCAAAUUUAAUGAAGGAUGUACCAAAUUUUGUGAAGGAUGUACCAAAUUUUGUGAAGGAUGUACCAAGGGUCCAAAAAUGCUUUUCGAAGUGGGGAUCGACCCCCAAUCACUUUGUUAUGGGUUUCUAAAUGAAAUUAUGGACCAUCCAUGUUGAAAUGGGGGUCUCGGAAUCUGUCGGAUCGGAUGUACCAAAUUUAAUGAAGGAUGUACCAAAUUUUGUGAAGGAUGUACCAAAUUUUGUGAAUGAUGUACCAAGGGUCCAAAAAUGCUUUCCGAAGUGGGGAUCGACCCCAAAUCACUUUGUUAUGGGUUUUUAAAUGAAAUAGUGGCUCAUCCACGGUCAGAAGAGGGUCCCGGAAUCACUAGGAUCGGAUGUACCAAAUUUUGUGAAGGAUGUACCAAGGGUCCGAAAAUGCGUUCCGAAGUGGGGAUCGACCCCCAAUCACUUUGUUAUGGGUUUCUUAAAGAAAUUACAGACCAUCCAUGUUGAAAUGGGGGUCUCGGAAUCUGUCGGAUCGGAUGUACGAAAUUUAAAGAAGGAUGUACCAAAUUUUGUGAAGGAUGUACCAAAUUUUGUGAAUGAUGUACCAAGGGUCCAAAAAUGCUUUCUGAAGCGGGGAUCGGCCCCAAAUCACUUUGUUAUGGGUUUUUAAAUUAAAUAGUGGCUCAUCCACGGUCAGAAGAGGGUCCCGGAAUCACUAGGAUCGGAUGUACCAAAUUUUGUGAAGGAUGUACCAAAGGUCCGAAAAUGCGUUCCGAAGUGGGGAUCGACCCCCNNNNNNNNNNNNNNNNNNNNNNNNNNNNNNNNNNNNNNNNNNNNNNNNNNNNNNNNNNNNNNNNNNNNNNNNNNNNNNNNNNNNNNNNNNNNNNNNNNNNGGGACCUCAUCUGACCGUGGAUGAGCCACUGUUUCAUUUAAAAACCCAAAACAAAGUGAUUGGGGUCGAUCCCCACUUUAGAAAGCAUUUUUGGACCCUUGGUACAUCAUUCACAAAAUUUGGUACAUCCUUCACAAAAUUUGGUACAUCCUUCAUUAAAUUUGGUACAUCCGAUCCGACAGAUUCCGAGACCCACAUUUCAACAUGGAUGGUCCAUAAUUUCAUUUAGAAACCCAUAACAAAGUGAUUGGGGGUCGAUCCCCACUUCGGAGUGCAUUUUCGGACCCUUGGUAUAUCCUUCACAAAAUUUGGUACAUCCGAUCCUAGUGAUUCUGGAACCCUCUUCUGACCGUGGAUGAGCCACUAUUUCAUUUAAAAACCCAUAACAAAGUGAUUUGGGGUCGAUCCCCACUUCGGAAAGCAUUUUUGGACCCUUGGUACAUCAUUCACAAAAUUUGGUACAUCCUUCACAAAAUUUAGUAUAUCCUUCAUUAAAUUUGGUAAAUCCGAACCGACAGAUUCCGAGACCCCCAUUUCAACAUGGAUGGUCCAUAAUUUCAUUUAGAAACCCAUAACAAAGUGAUUGGGGGUCGAUCCCCACUUCGAAAAGCAUUUUUGGACCCUUGGUACAUCAUUCACAAAAUUUGGUACAUCCUUCACAAAAUUUGGUAUAUCCUUCAUUAAAUUUGGUACAUCCGAUCCGACAGAUUCCGAGACCCCCAUUUCAACAUGGAUGGUCUGUAAUUUCUUUAGGAAACCCAUAACAAAGUGAUUGGGGGUCGAUCCCCACUUCGGAACGCAUUUUCGGACCCUUGGUACAUCCUUCACAAAAUUUGGUACAUCCGAUCCUAGUGAUUCCGGGACCCUCAUCUGACCGUGGAUGAGCCACUGUUUCAUUUAAAAACCCAAAACAAAGUGAUUUGAGGUCGAUCCCCACUUUAGAAAGCAUUUUUGGACCCUUGGUACAUCAUUCACAAAAUUUGGUACAUCCUUCACAAAAUUUGGUACAUCCUUCAUUAAAUUUGGUACAUCCGAUACGACAGAUUCCGAGACCCACAUUUCAAAAUGGAUGGUCCAUAAUUUCAUUUAGAAACCCAUAACAAAGUGAUUGGGGGUCGAUCCCCACUUCGAAAAGCAUUUUUGGACCCGUGGUACAUCAUUCACAAAAUUUGGUACAUCCUUCACAAAAUUUGGUAUAUCCUUCAUUAAAUUUGGUACAUCCGAUCCGACAGAUUCCGAGACCCCCAUUUCAACAUGGAUGGUCUGUAAUUUCUUUAAGAAACCCAUAACAAAGCUAUUGGGGGUCGAUCCCCACUUCGGAACGCAUUUUCGGACCCUUGGUACAUCCUUCACAAAAUUUGGUACAUCUGAUCCUAGUGAUUCCGGGACCCUCUUCUGACCGUGGAUGAGCCACUAUUUCAUUUAAAAACCCAUAACAAAGUGAUUUGGGGCCGAUCCCCGCUUCGGAAAGCAUUUUUGGGCCCUUGGUACAUCAUUCACAAAAUUUGGUACAUCCUUCACAAAAUUUGGUACAUCGUUCAUUAAAUUUCAUACAUCCGAUCCGACAGAUUCCGAGACCCCCAUUUCAACAUGGAUGGUCCAUAAUUUCUUUAGGAAACCCAUAACAAUGUGAUUGGGGGUCGAUCCCCACUUUGGAACGCAUUUUCGGACCCUUGGUACAUCCUUCACAAAAUUUGAUAUAUCCGAUCCUAGUGAUUCCGGGACCCUCUUCUGACCCUUGAUGAGCCUCUUUUUCAUUUAAAAACCCAAAACAAAGUGAUUUGGGGCCAAUCCCCCCUUCGGAAAGCAUUUUUGGACCCCUGAUACAUCAUUCACAAAAUUUGGUACAUCCUUCACAAAAUUUGGUACAUCCUUCAUUAAAUUUGGUACAUCCGAUUCGACAGAUUCCGAGACCCCCAUUUCAACAUGGAUGAUCCAUAAUUUCAUUUAGAAACCCAUAACAAAGUGAUUGGGGGUCGAUCCCCACUUCGAAAAGCAUUUUUGGACCCUUGGUACAUCCUUCAGAAAAUUUGGUACAUCCUUCACAAAAUUUGGUACAUCCUUCAUUAAAUUUGGUACAUCCGAUCCGACAGAUUCCGAGACCCCCAUUUCAACAUGGAUGGUCCAUAAUUUCUUUAGAAACCCAUAACAAAGUGAUUGGGGGUCGAUCCCCACUUCGGUACGCAUUUUCGGACCAUUGGUACAUCCUUCACAAAAUUUGGUACAUCCUUCAUUAAAUUUGGUACAUCUGACCCUAGUGAUUCCGGUACUGAUUACUACCAAAAAGUGCUAUUUUGUAGACCUAAUUAUAAUGGUUUUAAGCACCUUUGAGUAGUAAUCAUAUUCAUUUAACCCAAUUAAUUCAUUAAGGUCCUUAGUAAUUGGUUUUAACCAUUUUGUGGCAAGUUUACAUGUUUUUAUCAGCUUAUGAAUCAAUUCAAGCAUGCCAAAUGAUUGAGGAGAGUUAUUUGGAAUCCAUGGCAAAGCAAUGAAGAGCUCAAAUUCAUGAAGAAACUAAGCUUUGGAGCCUCAUAGUCCUUUGCCUUAGUCGUUCAAAGUAUGCAAGGAAAGAGCACUGGAGAGAGGAAAAACAGAGUGAAGAAAACAGAGGACAGCAGCUGCAGUCUUCUUGUGCACUUUUGGAGCACUUCCCGAAGUCCAUUUUCUACAUCCUAUAUACCAUUUCAAAGCUCAGAAGUCAAGAAUCCAACGCUUCAAACCGUGUACAUUUGGAGCUGAAAUGGNGGAAGUAUAAGCCUUUGGAAGAUGACUGCNNNNNNNNNNNNNNNNNNNNNNNNNNNNNNNNNNNNNNNNNNNNNNNNNNNNNNNNNNNNNNNNNNNNNNNNNNNNNNNNNNNNNNNNNNNNNNNNNNNNGUUCAGCUUGUUGAUGCGAAAAUAUUUCGCAACCCUCUUGAGUGUCUGCGAAAUCUCGCAGANACCAUUUUUCACUUGCGAAAUGUUCCUUGGAGCUUCUCGAUAUUUGCCACCGACUCUUUUGGAUAUUUUUCUUCAGAUAUUUUUGUAUAAAUUUCCAUUUUCUCCUUGUAUUCAGCCACUCAUGUAAUUCCUUAACUAGGAAGUAUCCAAGGAAGGCUAAAUUACCUUCCUAUAUAAACUCUCAGAUCAUGUAAUCCAUCAAUCAAUAUAUAGAAUAUACAGAGCCUUGCUCUGUUUUUCCUUCUCUUUCAUUUUUCAUUUCUUUUUAUUUCUAGCCAACCAAACUUUGAGGAUUUUUCCUCAAAGGAUGAGAGGCUAAGCUUUUUGUCUCUUGGAGUGAGGAAAGCCGGGUAAGUUUCCACAUGCAUAAUUUGGAAGUUUUGUUGUUUUAGUUUUUAAUGAAGAGAAAGUGUAACCCGUUAGUGAUUUCUAUGUUUUUAGUUAACUUAAAACACCUUAGAGUCAUCUGGGCCAACACUUGGUAAGGCAAGUGAUUUCCAACCAUGGAAAUGCACUAGUUUACCCCUUGUGAGCCUUUGGGAGGUGACUUAAAGGUAGGAUUUUUUAGAAUAGCCAACACUUGGUAAGCUUUUGGACUCCAAGGAGACAUCCAUUAGUUAUCUCUUGCGAGCUUUUGACGGGAAGUCCAAGGUUAAAGAUCAUCUUGAAUGGCAAGUGCUAGGUGAGAGGUAUGAGCCAUUGCAAGAUGCAUCAGUGAGAGGGAUUUAGUGUUUGAACCCAUUAAUGGGAAGCAUCUGUACAACACCGGUUAGAGAAUUAACUAUAUGUUAAUUCUCUAAUGCGAGGAAAAGAAACAAGUGACCGGAACUCCCUUUUUGUAUGAGGAAUCUGAGCCUAGUGAUCUGAACUCCAAGAAACAUCUUUUCUUUAUAAGUAAAAUCAGUUACUAUUUUUGGUUAGUUUAAAACCAAACCUUUUUCAUUCAAACAUCUCUAUGUUUUCUUUUAAAGCUAACCUUGAAAUGAAAAGGCACCAAUUCAACUUUGAAUUAACAUCAUUUGUGAAGUGAAAACUCAUCCCAGUGAACGAUCCUAGAGCCACUAUGCUAUAGUAGCUUUGUCUUUGCUACCCUAGUAUAUGGUGUAAUAGGUUAUAAAUUUUGUUGAUUAAUCCCUCAAUCAAGGAGCACCAGCUGGACACAAAUCAGCUGAGACACCAAUUGGGCACGAAUCAGGUACCCCCUUAGUGCCAUGGAUGGACCAUAAUUUAAUUUGGCAACCCAUAAGUGAUUUAUUUCAAAAUUUAAAAAAUACUUUUAUUAAAACAUAUUUUAUUACAUUUUAAAUAAAAAGUAAAUUGAUUUAUAUCAAAUAUUUGAUUUGAGAUAUGAUUUCUAAAAAUAUAUUACAAAUAUGUGGUGACAAUUUUUCAAUUAAAAUUCAUGUAUUUAAAUAAUUAAAAUUAUUAAUCAUUUAUCUAAUCAAAUUAAUUUUAAGUUAUAAAAUAUUAGGACUUCAUCAUUUUUUUUGUAGCAAAUUCUGAGUACAACUAUUUUUGUAAUAUUUAAAAAUACAAAAUUUUGAAAUUAAAUAAAAUUAAACGGGUAAAUAAAAAAAGUAGUUAAAAAAAUAAAGAUAAUGUAAAAUAGAAUGAUAAUAUAAUUUUGAAAUAAAGUAUUAGGUAAUGACAACGUUUUUUUUGUAGGAAUGAGCAUGAAGGAAAACUAUGGCCACCGCCUUCAUGUCAUACACAUCCCCAAUGGUAUUAUAAACUUUGGAAUCUUAUGUUAUAUGCAAUACACAAAAUAAGGGCCCACCCUUUAUUUCACAGGCAUGCCUAUGUGUCGAAGAUGCCAUGUGCAGUAGCCAAAUUAGGGGCAGACCUUUCAUAUGACAUGCAUGCAAGUGGGUGAAAACCUAAUCGUAGUUAUUAUUUGUGCACUAUCAAAAAGAUAAGCAUGCCCUUGUGCAGGUGGCAUGCCUUCAUAGUGACUUUAUCUUACUUGUUGAUUGGACAGUGUGGUCAUGGGAGGCAGACCCAACACAUGAAGGGUUGGCCCUACACAUUCACAUUGAAAUAAAAUGUAUGGAUAAUUGAUUCAUAUGUGUUAAAGCCUAAAAUAUAGAGUCAAUACAUACUAAGAUUGGAAAAUAGGCAAAAUGUCAUUCAGACAUUCAAAAUAACUUAAACCAACCUCAUAACUAGCAUCACAUUUACACAUAAAUAUUGCAUAGAGUGUUGACAAUUGGUGCAAGAGAGUAUAAAGUUUACUGAUGAUUAAUGAAAGCAUGCAUAUUGAUAAGCAUUGGAAAGCGUUAAAGUAAAAGGAGUUAAGAAGUUGUUUGAGAACGAGAUUUUAUAAACUUAUUACAAAAUCCAUGAAAAUGUUGUGCGCACACAUACGCAUUCGAUUGUAAGACGGAUAGAAAGUAAGGUUACUCCUCUUCAUUAGUCGGUGCAUCUUCGUCUUCUUCAUCUCCACCAUCAUCAUCACCAUCUUCCUCGUCAUCUGUCUGUGAUGGCGUAGGAGGUAGAGCAUCAGGGUGCAAUGCUUUCCAUGCUGCAAUGGAACGAUCGCAUUGUUGACGCACAAUCUUCAAUUGAUUGUUCAUUGAUUUGCACAUUGGGUAAAUAUCCCCAAGCUGAGAACUUUUAGUUGACCUACGCGACGAAGAGGAUGAUGUUUGUUUGUCUAUCGACAUUUUCAUGCGCAUAGGUUGCAUGCGCGGGAUUGACUCAUAAGGUAGUGUCUUGAAAUCCAACCCUGCAUUUUGUAAAAGCAAGCAAACAGUUGAACCAUAUGGUAAUGCACGUGUGCUCACAUUACUACGCCGUGCCUCUAUCAUGUUAUGGCAAAUAAGUGCGGGCAAAUUAAUUUUACUGCGACGUGCCAUGUGAAACAGAAUAUGCAGAACAUAUAGUGUAAGCUCAUUAAGAUGACCCUUCUUAUUCAAGACAGUAUGAAACAAUAUCAGACUUAGAAUCCUGUAUUUUGGAAGUAGAGAUCUAUGUUCAACGCUUGUACCCAACUGAAAACAAUGGCCGCAUAAUUCCUUUGUUAUUGUGUCUGACAUUGCCUUGAUAUCAAUCUCUGGAAUACAAAAGUUAAUAGCUUUCUUGGGUGUUUCCAAAGAGAAGGUGCGUCCAAUAAGGGAUGGGGAAACCCGCACAGCAACUCCCUUGAAUGAAGUGUGAAAUGAAUAUUUCUCCUCGUCAACAUUUCUGAUAUUGUUGUAGAAUGCUCGCACAGGAGUUGGAUAACAUUCUUGCGUUAGCUGUAUAAAUGGUCUCAAUUUGUAAAAAUCUAGUAACUCAGCAACGCCAUGUUCUUCAAACCCAGCAAUUAGUAUGACACGCUCAAUGGCAAUUGGUCGUUUUGCUAUGAGCUUAUCACAUUCGUGCUCAUCAGGUGGGUGGCGAGGCAUGAAAGGGUCAUGUUGGACUUCCUCAGGUACAGUUGACGUUGAGCCAUGUCUAACCUUCUUUUUAGGCGGCAUGAUGUUUGGUCCUUGUAAUGGCACUACAUAUUGUUAAAAAUUCAGUGAUGGAAGUUAGAGAUGAAAAGUUUCAAUUCAUUGCAUCCAAGCCAACCACAAAUAGCUUAAAAAGGAAUUCAAGCAACUCCCAAAAGAGUGGUUGCCACAACCAAGAGAAAAUAUGUGCAGAAAACAAUGAAAAACAAACCUUAUUGUUGUUGUUAUUGUAGCAAAUUGUUGACGAUUAUGCCAGUGAAAAUCUUACAGUGAAAUGGUAGAGUAGCUAAAAUGGAGGAAUGGGUGGGUGGAAGAGGGAGGUUGUGAUGUGCAACGUGUAUAGUAGAAAAUGAGGUGUAAAUGGGAAUGAAUAUGAGUUGUUGAGGAUGUGAUGUCAACCAAACUGAGUAAAUGGUUGAAGUUGGAAUGGAGGUCCGCCUAUGCACGAGAUGUGGCUAGUACAUACAUGCAUUUAAUGUUCCAUAAUGAGUGCAUAGUUACAAGUCACUAAAAUUGGAUGGGAUGAAACAACGUGAAUGAAGUCUUCUACAAGCCUACAAUUGGAGACUAUCAUUAUGUGGAGUGAAUGUGAAGUUAUUAUGUGGUAGGUGCAUCAUAAAUAUUGGUAAUAUGAAGUCUUCUACAAGCCUACAAUUGAAGACUAUCAUUAUGUGGAGUGAAUGUGAAGUUAUUAUGUGGUAGGUGCAUCAUAAAUAUUGGUAAUAUGUUGACCUCUAGUUAUUAAAUGUCCACUGUGGUACAAUCAAAUCAAAUGCAACAAAAGUUUUUCAAGUUUUUGUUCUCGUUGACAUAAAAUGGCCAAAUAUUUAUCGAAUAAGUGUAAUGUAGUUGAUACAAGUAUGAAUAAAUAUAAUAUUUAUUAAAUUUUUAUAAGAAAAGUAGCAUUAAUUGAUUUAAUAUAUUUAAGAGAUUUAUUUUUAAAUUAAAAAAUACGUAUAUUAAAACAUAUUUUAUGACAUUCUAAAUACUUUAAAAAAUGUAUCAUUAAAUUAUUAAAAAUGCUAAAAAAAACUUUCACAAUUGACAAAAAAUGCGCAUGGACUCCAAUUUUUUCCCACAAAAACAGUAGUAGAAGUUUAUUUAAUUCAAUUUGGAAAAAAAUGACCCAUAUCAUUAAAAAUAAUUAUUUUUAAAAAUCAUCCGUAAAUAUAAAAUUCUAUGACUUUAUUAAUCUGAUAGCUACACAUAGAAGCUAAUCACCUUGCUAAACAAAGAUUUAUUACCAGUAUGAUAUUUUCCAUCAUGCCAAACGCUGCACGAGUAUGCAAUUUCGUUUUGUAAAUGCUUAUUGAUUCGACUCAUGGUAGCUUAGCUUUAAAGGCGUAUCAACAAAAUUUAUACCUUAAAUACUAUUACUAAAGUAGCCAAGCUACUAUAGCAUAGUGGUUCUAGGAUCGUUCACUGGGAAGGGUUUUCGCAAACACUAGUGAUAUUCAAAUUAGGAAAAUAGGUGAUUUUCUUAUGGAUGUUAGCUUUAAAAGAAGAUGUAAAUGUUUUAGAAAGAUUUAAACUAAUCUAAGCUAACAUUAAAGACUAAAAUGAAAGGGUGUAAAAACAAGUUUCUCAAAGAUAGGAUAGCUAUGCUCUGGCUCUUAUGCAAAUUGGAAAUCUCAUGAUAGGCUCCUCGAGUUGGGGUUGCAACUAUGGUGAUGCUUGCUUCCCGAACCGGUAUGGAUUUAGCAAAUCAAGUUUUAAUCCUUUAAAAUGGCAAAACAGAUGGUAGUGAAUUUCAUCAAUGGUUAUUCACCUUAGACUUCCUUUGAAUGGCUCGUAAGAGAUAACUAAUGGUCUAAAGCCAAAAGCUUACCAAAUAUUGGCAACUCAAAGUCAUUCCAGGUGAUAAACUCACCUUUCAAUGACCAUUGAAAUUGGUUCUAACGAAUUAAUGCAAAACUUGGAAUUGAAAACCUCACCUUCCAAUAGCUCGUAGGAGAUAACUAAUGGAUAGAAAUCCAAAAGCUUAUCAAGUAUUGGCCGUUGGAAGUUGUCCAAAGGAAAUAAAAACCAAACUUUGCAUUAAUGAACCAUUAAUGAAAAACGACUACCUUACCUUCCAAGUGCGAGAAAUUUCCAUGGGAUUGCAUCCAAGCCAUCACAUAACAUCCAUACUUUGAGAAACUAAAAGUUUUAGCCAAUCAUCCUUUGAGGAAAAGCCCUCAGAGGCUGUUUAGCUUCCAAGAAAAUAAAAUAGUAAAGAGACAAGAGAGACGAGAGAGCUCUGUAUAUAUUUUAAGUGUCAAAACGUCACCUAUGUUAUAUAUUCCAAGAGGUGAUUUCCACCCCUUAUAUAGUCUUUACAAAAGCAAAAGCUUGUGAUUGGUUAGUUACAAGGAUAAGAAAGGAAAUUACAUCAAAAAAUACAAAGGAAAAUAUCUAAAGUGGAGUCGGCAAAAACAGAGGAAAAUUCGCACCACGCAUGGGUUAUGCGAAUUUUGAAGGUGUUAUGCGAAUUUCGCAAAACACCUUGUGUCGUGCGAAAUUUUCGCACAACCUGGAGCAGUUGGCUUCCAAAGGCCAUAUCUUCCUCAUUUCAGCUCCAAAUCGUACACGGUUUGAAGCUUUGGAUUCUUGACUUCCAGAGCUUUGAAAUGGUAUAUAGCAUGUAAAAAAUGGACUUCAGGAAGUGCUCUAAAAGUGCGAAAGAAAACUACAGCUGCUGUCCUCUUUGCUUCUCUUCACUUUGCUUGCUUUUCCUCUUUGCUUCUCUUUCCUUGCAUACUUUGAACGACUUUGGAAAAGGGCUAUGGAGCUCCAAAGCUUGGUUCUUCAUGAAUUUGAGCUUCCAAAAGCUUUGCCAUAACUUGUCCAAGUAGCUCCUCCAUCAUUUGGCAUGCUUGAAUUGAUUCAUAAGCUGAUAAAAACAUGUAAACUUGCCACAAAAUGGUUAAAACCAAUUACUAAGGACCUUAAUGAAUUAAUUGGGUUAAAUGAAUAUGAUUACUACUCAAAGGUGCUUAAAACCAUUAUAAUUAGGUCUACAAAAUAGCACUUUUUGGUAGUAAUCACUUAUAUCAUCCACAAUCAUUUAAACCUCCAUAAAUGAUCAAUAACUAUUUGUAUUUCAUGGCAUUGGCAGAAUUGAACCUUUUGGGAAUACAAGAAAUAAUGUUGAUGGGACAAAAUUAGAACUUCUAACAAAGUACAUAAAUUGGAAAGGUAAGACAAAUUGAGAAACCAAGAAAGAACCACUAGAUUUAGCACACAUUUAGGGUUCCAUUAUGAACUUUCAUCAUGAAACAUUUCCUAGAAUCAAUAGCUAACUAUAGUCCCCAAUGCAACCCAAUUGGCAUCUUUUGCAAUAGAAAUACUGGUGGUUGAUGAGCCCAAUCACAGAACUUCAUGAGCUUUCCCAUAAUACCUGUUUAUAAACGGUGCCUGAAAGGCAUUCCAAACAACAAUAAUUACUAUUUAAAGAUUAAUGAGUCAUACUUAUUUCCUGAAAAAAAAUGUAGAGAGGGCACAAAUAAGAUAAUGCAAUUAGCAUUCAUUAACAAGUGUCUGCUCUAAUAGAAGAGGCCAAAUUCAUUGAUAUGCUACAACCAAUCAACUAUUUUUUGUACUUAUUCACAGAAUGGAUGGCAAAACAUACCCUCAAUAAACCAUGGCCAAGUGAAAACAAGGUGACUAAACAGAAAAAACUCAACUUAAUUAGCUAAGUAAAAGUCAAACCAUUUAGAAAUAGUGUCAUAUUGAUCCAUUUGGAUACCAAGGAAAAAAAAUGGCCACAUAAUGACAAAGCUUUUGGGCGAUCAGUUAGUUGAUAUUAAAAAUAGCAGACAUGUUAUGUUAGCAUGGAACAGAUAAAUAAAUUAAACAUAUAUUCCAUCAAGAGAUUAUUUUUUGACUAUUUAUGUAGGGAACGACUUAUAGCAAUACACCAUGAUCUUGAAUAUCGCAUUAAGGCCAGCUUCAAAAUGCACAAGAUUCAUAGGCUAUCAAUAGUCUCAUAUGGAGAAACAAAAAUAGUGGUGUCGAAGAUAUUCUGUUCUUUCAAUAGAAGAAAUGUUCAAAAUUGUACCUUAACAUUUUAGAGUUUUUGUCAAUGAAGAAUAAUCGGAACAAACUCUAACAAAUUCUAUCUUAUGCUCUCUCUAGCUUUUAACAUGACUGUCCAUAUUAGAUUGUGUUGAUUGGUUGGGCUCUUGAUGAUUAUAGAGAGGUGUUUUUGUUAAUCUCUCAAUCUAAUUGCCUUUAUGUCUUAUUUCUAAACUUCUUGUGUACAUUUGUGCACCUUCUUUUAAUUAGGUGGUGUUAAUAAUAUUAUCUUUUGCAAAAGAAAAAAUAAAUUGUACCUUAACAUUUGAUAUGCCAGGAUUAUCAUCGGUCUGGACUGAGUAGAACUUGUUAAACUUCAUGUUUUCAAAUGCUGCUUUAGUCUAUUAACUCAUUUCUGCAAGGCCUUUUUCUAGGCUUCUCUAGCCUACAAGAAAAGGAAUUGACAAGUACUCAACAUAUUUGAAAUUUAUGUGCAAGACCAAAACUAUUGUAACGAUUGGUAUCUGUUAUAAAAUACCUGUCUAUUGGCUUUUUUUGCCUCUCGGACAUUGUCUUUGACAAAAUUAUGAGCAACCAAAACAAUUUAAGUUCAUGGUAUGGUUAAUUACAUGCAAGAGCAAUCAAUUACAUGCAUAUCAUCAAUUACAGAUCACCUUAAAUGCAUCCUUUUGAUCUGCAUCAAAUUCAUUCUCCUCAAUUAGCUUAUCAGUGACCUCCUAAAGAUAAGAGAAGUACAGUUAACCACAAGAUGUAAAUAAAACAUAAUAAAAACCUAUAAAGCUUAUGAGUAAUGAAGGAACUUAUUCUUUUAGAGGGUUCCUUCCACAACACUCCCCUAGGAAAUAUUAAAGCAGGAACAAGUCGUCCUUUGUCUUAUUAAAUGUCUAACCAUCAAAAAUCACUCUAAACUAAGUUUAGUAUCAAUUGAUUUAUAGAUGCGAGACAGCUAAACCCACAAUAAGAUGGUAACAAGGAUUCUUUCAGCUAAACAGAAAAUACAGCCAUUUGACUAAAUUGGUUUACAGGGUUGUUGAAUUAUCUAAUAAUUAGCUCAUGAUUAUACAUAAACAUAGAAAAUUGGGGAUAAGUUUAAGCAACCAGACCAUGUCAUUACAAUAUUAUCAACUGAUUUAAACAGGUUAUAUGGAAUAGCACAAACGAUUUAUGGAAGCAUUAAGAAAUUGUCAAUAAUAUAACCUUAAAAAAUAAAAAUGUCAUUUACUAGAGUUUUAUAUAUAUAGGGAGGAGAUAGCACCUAACCUGGUAGUCAAAUGAACCAUGCAUGCAUUGGAAGUAGUCUUGAUAACUUAUCCCUUCUAUUGUACCAUAAAAAAGACAUGACAUAGCCUCAAAAUCUAUUAUUCACUAUCAAUGACCAAGUUGAAGUUUAAAUUUGAAUGUAUAGUUAAAAAAUUGAAUGAAAUAAAACCAAAGAAAUUAAUUGUGAAGGUUACCCAAUACUAUUCUGCAUCGUUGGUUGACCAAAUAUUGGCUGUAACCAUUUCACCAAUUUCGUUUUCGCUAUCAAGAACCAUAUGAGUUGCAAAUUUCAAUCUUUCAAGGCUCAUGCGUUCCUACACAUUAAACUUAUGUUAGACCCUACAUCUCGGUAACAUUUAACAUGUACAUUUGAAAAUAAAACCAUAACAUCAUAUUUAACAACUUACAGAAUUAAUGGUUCUAUUAAGACCACUUCCAUCCCAAUGUUGCAUAUAGAGAAUAGCAUACAUCCCAGUAUGACAUUUGCAAUAACAAGUAUGAUUUGUGACAUGUUAUUAACAUAGGACCCAAUUAGGAUUGAAAAUGAAUACAUGAAAAAAAAAAUAUGUAACUAACAAUUUUGGAUCGCCAUCGAUAUCUGCAUACUGUGGAUGUAAAUUAUUUAUAUUCACAUCAUUCCGUUUGAAGGAAUUUUUUAAUAACUGCGACAUAAAUCCAACUACUUUGAAAGCUUCAUUAACAAAGUGAACACGUUGAAUGCUAUUAUAUGAUGAAAGUAGAUCCACCCUUUUAGCCUCCAAAUUGAUUACCAUGAUGACCCAUUCAUUAAAUUGGAAUAAGGGGAUAUAAAACUACAAAACAGACAAUCAUCAUAACAACAAUGAAGGCUUAAAUAUUUGAAAUAUAAAUUCAAAAUUAUUAAAAAAUUGUCAUCAAUCUAUGUAAUCAAUACAAUAGUCAAGCAUUACCUGGUUGCAAAAUUCAAGAUUAACACAAUAGCUACCUAAUCUUUUCUUGAGUGUUGAUUUUGAGGUAGACUUGCUCAUUGAACCACAUAUUUCUUGUAAAAAGUUGUUGAGAGCAUAGUAACAAUGUAUGACUAAAGCUAUACAUGCAUCUUAUAUUAGGGACAAGAUUUGGUGUACUCGAGGAAAAAACCUCACCCCAAAGUAUGGAUUAAAAAAGUGUCUGCAAUAAGGAUUCUCUUCUUUUGCAUUCAUGUAUCGGCAAAACAUGGAAAUCACCUACAUAAUGCCUCUUCAUUAGUUAAAAUGAUCAAUGGAAAGAUGAAGGUAUUUUUUUCUUAUUUAUCAUAAACCUUACCGGAAUAUCAAUGAAGCUCUCCCCUACUAAGCAUUAAAAUUGUUCCCGUGUCACGCCAUAGCCACCAUAUGCACAAAGCAUCUCACUAUUAAUCACAUGAAACACAAGACGUGAGUAAUUUUUUUUGUUUUCUAGAUAAAUCCAUAAUCAUAGUCUUUUAAGAACAAUACUUGUUAAACGUGUGAUUUGGGACUAACCUUGGAUCUUUUGACUCAUCAAAUACAUAGUCGGCAACAUGUGUCUCUUCCUCCGUCAACCUUUUAUAUUUUGAUACACAUAAUUGUACAAAAGGUGACUUACACGCAGCUGCUCGUUGCCUAUGACGACGUACUUUCAUUUUUACUCUUUGUGGUCGUAUUUCUUCUGAGGCUUGUGGUGCUACAUCCACAUUGUUGUUCAUGCACGAUUGCACUAACACCAACAUAUUGUGUGGCCCAGGGUGAAGGGGAUCCUCGUUUGAAAAGAACACACCAUCUUCUAUGUUGGGUCUUUCUGACACCCCUUCAUUUGUACAUCCAACGUCAUCUUCAAAAGAUCUUCUUUGACCACCAGAAUGAACAGGUGAAUGUUGUGGAUUAUUUUUAUAAAAUGGUGCACCACUUUCAUUAACAUGUUCAUGAAAAUUUGACGGUUGGCCUUCAUCUGUGCGAUAAUGUGAAGAGGUGAAACGAGUCCUCAACACUUUCACGUCACGGUUGUAUGAUGCAAUAAGACUAUUAAGAUGACUUUGUGCAUCGGUGAUUUGACGUUGUGUUGCCUCCAUGCGAGCACAAAUAACCUAAGUCAAACAUAAUGAAGGACCAUUAAAUGACAUAUAUUUAAACUAAGCCUUAAUAUAAGUUACUAUUCAUAGUCAUUAGGUAUGAAGGAUUACAUCAAAGUCUUCAUUCUCAUCUGGGUCAACUGGGUCAUCAACUGUAGGAGCCUUAUUUUUUUCUGUUUCAUCUUGCUCCGCCGAUGUGCUAACCAACUAUCAUUGCAAAACAUGUAAAUUGUCAUCCCAAUAAUCUAAUUACAAUGGUAAUCAACUAUCUUAAUAUAACUAAAAGCUAAUUAUACCUCAACUUUGCCAAAUCCUCCAAGCAUUUCUAACUCCAACUUGAUGCGUUGCUUGACCAAAAAAUCAUUCCAUGCAGCAAUGCGAGGAGUGGUAAGUUCCACAUACAUGGCUGGAAAAUUAGAUAUUGAAAAGUAGAAUAUCUGUUGCAUUAUAUAAGACAUAAUUAGUGGUAACAUCAUGGCCAACAUAGUGUAUAACCAUUAUUGAAUAUCUAAUACAUGGACAUAUACUUAUAAAUAAGACAAAAAGUUACCUGUAGAAACAUCAAACACCCUUUAAUCCAAACACUUUCCUUCCUCCUAUGUUCAUGUAUAGCUUGAAUCAAAAAUUCUAAGACAUUCUCCCCAAUUUAUGUUCCCAAGUAACUGCUCUCGGGGUGUAUACCAUAACGAGUGACUACCUUCCAAACGAGAAGUGGGUGCCAAUAAGGUUGCACAAGCGAAAAUCAAGAAGACCCGCUUAAAUUCCUCCAUAUCAUCGAUGCCAACCAUCAUUGACUCUAUAUCUUGCAAACUCGGCAUUUGACUAGCUUUAACACUUCCCUUCUCAACAAUUAACUUUCUUCCACUAUGUGGAAUGCCCAUCGUCAUCCCAACAUCAUGACAUGUCAAAGAAACCUUCUUACCCCCAAAUAACUCGAGUUGGGAAUAAGCAAUGUUUGUGUUUUUUAUCAACCAAAAACAUAAAUCUAAAUUAACCUCCUUACAACCUAAUUGCAAUAGCCCACCAAAACCAAGUUCUCGUAUUACAUCCUUCUUCACUUCUGAGAGCAAAUGGAUUCCAGAGAGGAAUCUACGGCUAGAACAACGACACCGUAUGUUCAUAUUAUCACUGCAUUAAACAACUAUAAUUCAUUAAUAAAUUAAUCAAAUGUUAAAGACAUGUGAACGUGAAUAUAGUGUUCCUAUAUACAUUCAUCAUAAUUAUUACACAAAUAUAACAUAUAUUAACAAAGAAAUGGGAAACAUUUUGUUACAUCAUGUAAAUGAUAAUCAUUGAGAUCGGUUUCCUCUAGCCUUUCAAUAAUAUGGUUAUCAAUAAGGGUGAAAUUGUUAUAUAUAGGGUCACCCACUAUGAUACCCACUGCAAAAAAAAAAAAAAAAAAACAGACAAUGUGCAUUUUAGUGGGUCAGCCAAUAAAAACAAAUGGUACGCCUCAAAGUUACAUACUCAUCUAACCAUAUCAAUAUAGUUUAGGGAAAAGUGGGAUUUGAUUCACUAAUAAGAAAAUAUAUGAUAAAAAGAAUCCCAAAUAUUUUAAAUUAGUAUUAUCUUCAUCUAUUUAAAAAUAAUUUGAAAUACAUGCAAUGAGUUAUCCAAUUAUUCCAAAAAAUGUCAUUUUAUUUUUUAUGUUAUUCAAAUCAAUUGAAAACUACACUCCUCCAUAUAAAUGUUUCCUUAUUAUUUUAGAUUUUUUUAUUAUUAUUUUAUUAUUUAAGAUUUUUUUUCCUCUAGAAACAAACACCUUAUAGGAUUCUUAUUUUAGUUUUCUAAAAGUUUAGGAAAUAUUGUCAAACAAAUCAUAUUUAAUCAUAAUUACGAAUUCAAAAAGUAAUAAGAUUUUUUAUUAAAUAAUAAAGAAUAAACUCGUAAUAUAUAAUUCUUUUAAUAUUAUAACAAAUUUAUUAUUAAAAAACUUUAAUAACAAAUUUUAUUCAUUAUUAUAUUAAACAAUUAUUAAUAUUAUAUAAUAAAUAGAAAUUUAUUAUUGGUUUAUUUAUUAUCAAGAAUAUGAAUCUAUUUUUAACUUAUUAAUACUAUAAUAAAUUCUGUUUUUUUUUUCAAAUUAUUACUUUAUAAUGUUUCUAGAGAAAAAAAAUUCCCAAAUAAUAAAAUAAUAAAAUAAUAAAAUAAUAAAGUAAUAAUAAUAAUAAUAAUAAUAAUAAUAAUAAUAAUAAUAAUAAUAAUAAUUUAAGAUUAUUGACAACUACACUCCUCCAUAUAAAUGUUUCCUUAUUAUUUUAGAUUUUUAUUUUAUUUUAUUAUUUUAUUAUUUAAGAUUUUUUUUCCUCUAGAAACAAACACCUUAUAAGAUUCUUAUUUUAGUUUUCUAAAAGUUUAGGAAAUAUUGUCAAACAAAUCAUAUUUAAUCAUAAUUACGAAUUCAAAAAGUAAUAAGAUUUUUUAUUAAAUAAUAAAGAAUAAACUUCGUAAUAUAUAAUUAUUUUAAUAUUAUAACAAAUUUAUUAUUGAAAAACUCUAAUAACAAAUUUUAUUCAUUAUUAUAUUAAACAAUUAUUAAUAUUAUAUAAUAAAUAGAAAUUUAUUAUUGGUUUAUUUAUUAUCAAGAAUACGAAUCUAUUUUUAACUUAUUAAUACUAUAAUAAAUUCUGUUUUUUUUUUUCAAAUUAUUACUUUAUAAUGUUUUUAGAGAAAAAAAAUUCCCAAAUAAUAAAAUAAUAAAAUAAUAAAGUAAUAAUAAUAAUAAUAAUAAUAAUAAUNNNNNNNNNNNNNNNNNNNNNNNNNNNNNNNNNNNNNNNNNNNNNNNNNNNNNNNNNNNNNNNNNNNNNNNNNNNNNNNNNNNNNNNNNNNNNNNNNNNNNNNNNNNNNNNNNNNNNNNNNNNNNNNNNNNNNNNNNNNNNNNNNNNNNNNNNNNNNNNNNNNNNNNNNNNNNNNNNNNNNNNNNNNNNNNNNNNNNNNNNCUUUUUUCAAAUUAUUACUUUAUAAUGUUUUUAGAGAAAAAAAAUUCCCAAAUAAUAAAAUAAUAAAAUAAUAAAGUAAUAAUAAUAAUAAUAAUAAUAAUAAUUUAAGAUUAUUGACAACUACACUCCUCCAUAUAAAUGUUUCCUUAUUAUUUUAGAUUUUUAUUUUAUUUUAUUAUUUUAUUAUUUAAGAUUUUGUUUCCUCUAGAAACAAACACCUUAUAGGAUUCUUAUUUUAGUUUUCUAAAAGUUUAGGAAAUAUUGUCAAACAAAUCAUAUUUAAUCAUAAUUACGAAUUCAAAAAGUAAUAAGAUUUUUUAUUAAAUAAUAAAGAAUAAACUCGUAAUAUAUAAUUCUUUUAAUAUUAUAACAAAUUUAUUAUUAAAAAACUUUAAUAACAAAUUUUAUUCAUUAUUAUAUUAAACAAUUAUUAAUAUUAUAUAAUAAAUAGAAAUUUAUUAUUGGUUUAUUUAUUAUCAAGAAUAUGAAUCUAUUUUUAACUUAUUAAUACUAUAAUAAAUUCUGUUUUUUUUUUCAAAUUAUUACUUUAUAAUGUUUCUAGAGAAAAAAAAUUCCCAAAUAAUAAAAUAAUAAAAUAAUAAAAUAAUAAAGUAAUAAUAAUAAUAAUAAUAAUAAUAAUAAUAAUAAUAAUAAUAAUAAUUUAAGAUUAUUGACAACUACACUCCUCCAUAUAAAUGUUUCCUUAUUAUUUUAGAUUUUUAUUUUAUUUUAUUAUUUUAUUAUUUAAGAUUUUUUUUCCUCUAGAAACAAACACCUUAUAAGAUUCUUAUUUUAGUUUUCUAAAAGUUUAGGAAAUAUUGUCAAACAAAUCAUAUUUAAUCAUAAUUACAAAUUCAAAAAGUAAUAAGAUUGUUUAUUAAAUAAUAAAGAAUAAACUUCGUAAUAUAUAAUUCUUUUAAUAUUAUAACAAAUUUAUUAUUGAAAAACACUAAUAACAAAUUUUAUUCAUUAUUAAAUUAAACAAUUAUUAAUAUUAUAUAAUAAAUAGAAAUUUAUUAUUGGUUUAUUUAUUAUCAAGAAUACGAAUCUAUUUUUAACUUAUUAAUACUAUAAUAAAUUCUGUAUUUUUUUUCUUCAAAUUCUUACUUUAUAAUGUUUCUAGAGAAAAAAAAUUCCCAAAUAAUAAAAUAAUAAAAUAAUAAAGUAAUAAUAAUAAUAAUAAUAAUAAUAAUAAUAAUAAUUUAAGAUUAUUGACAACUACACUCCUCCAUAUAAAUGUUUCCUUAUUAUUUUAGAUUUUUAUUUUAUUUUAUUAUUUUAUUAUUUAAGAUUUUUUUUCCUCUAGAAACAAACACCUUAUAGGAUUCUUAUUUUAGUUUUCUAAAAGUUUAGGAAAUAUUGUCAAACAAAUCAUAUUUAAUCAUAAUUACGAAUUCAAAAAGUAAUAAGAUUGUUUAUUAAAUAAUAAAGAAUAAAAUUCGUAAUAUAUAAUUAUUUUAAUAUUAUAACAAAUUUAUUAUUGAAAAACUCUAAUAACAAAUUUUAUUCAUUAUUAUAUUAAACAAUUAUUAAUAUUAUAUAAUAAAUAGAAAUUUAUUAUUGGUUUAUUUAUUAUCAAGAAUACGAAUCUAUUUUUAACUUAUUAAUACUAUAAUAAAUUCUGUAUUUUUUUUUUCAAAUUCUUACUUUAUAAUGUUUCUAGAGAAAAAAAAUUCCCAAAUAAUAAAAUAAUAAAAUAAUAAAGUAAUAAUAAUAAUAAAAUAUCUAAAAAGAAUGGAAAUAUUUAUACAAUGGAUUCUAAUUGUCAAUGGAUUAGGAUGACAUGACAAGUAAAGGGCUAUUUUUGGGAAUAAUUAAAUCAUAAAUUAAAAAGUGCAUGCAUUUUAAAUUAUUUUUAAAUAAAUGAAGAUAAUAUUGGAAUUUUCUUUGUCAACCAAUCAGUUUUGAGAAAAAAUGUUCUUGUAACGGAUAAGCUCCAAGAGGUUAGUUUUUGUAUAUAUAUAUAUAUAUAUAUAUAUAUAUAAUGUAUAUAUAUAACAGUUCAUGUAAAUUUUGAUUUUUUUGUAAAUUAAAAUAUAAUAUUUUUUUAUAUUGAUAAAUAAAAGUCAUAUUGUUUUAAACUACUUUAUUCAACAAACAACAAGAUCGGUGGCCCCAACAUUGAUAUGGUUACAAAAAUAGCUAUAAAAGAAAAUAUGACAUCAAAAUCCAAUUCAAUAAAAAUCAUAGUCCUCAAACCUCUGUUUCAUUAAAAGGUACAUAAUCCUACAAUUCACUUCAUAUGACUCAUGAAGUUAGCGCCAUCAAGAUGAAUUGUCAUAAUUGAAACAAAUCUACAUAAACAAAUAGAGACCAUUUCACAUUUUAAACUACAAUAUCCAUCAAACAACAACAAGACCAAUGUUUACAAAAUUAAUGAAGUUACAAAACUACUGAAAGAAAAGAGUAACCUACCAUUUAAAAAUUUUCUACAUUUGUAUUAAAAAUAUAUGGUAACAAAAUUUUCUAUUAACAUUAAUUUAUUUAAAUAAUUAAUAUUAUUAAUAAUUUAUCUUAUCAAAUUAAUUUUAAUUUAUAAAAUAUUACUGAUAAAAACUGAAAUUUUGAUUUAACCAAAAUAAAGAUGGAUAAUUAAUUAUUUAUAAUUAAUAAUUAAUAAUUUUGAUUUAUAAUAUUGUUCUUGUGAUUUGUUUCCUUUUUAUUUCUAUACUAUAUCUAAAAAACAAACAUGCUCGUUGCCAUUCGUUGAGGCAUUAUGGGAAGGUGAAGGACCCAACGGUGGAGAAUUUGUUGCCGGAGAUUGAUUUUGAGCACACUGUUGGGAGGAGAUUGGUUUCAACCUCUGGAACUCGGUCUGUGGUUCUAAUGGUGGUUGAUGCUUCAGAUUUUGAUGGGUCCGGCCACCACGCGUGAGGCAUCAAGAAACCCCUUUGUUGAAUUCUUCUCCAGGCAAGCAUCAUGCCUUAUUUUCCUCUGCCACUCUCAAUCCUCGCAGGUGCUAAUCUAAUCAUGUUAUUAAUAUUUAUUUUCAACCCCAAUUUGCUUCCCAAGAAAAUCCAUCCCUCAUUCGAUUUCCGGGAAAAUUCAUCCUCGUUUAAUUUCCGAGAGAAAUCCAUCAAAACUCCCAAGGAAAACCAAAAAAAAAAAAUGCUUUUAUUUUGUUGCUCCCCGUGUUUUCUGGAUCUGUUCUAAGGUUUUAUUUGUUUUUGUGCCAUUGGAUUUAAAUUCUACAAACCCUAAAUCCACGAUUUUUGAGCCACGCUGAAAACCACAACCUUUGCCCUCAAAUUGUGGAUCUGUGUGCGUGUGUGGCGGGUUGGAUUUAAAUUCUACAAACCCUAAAUCCAUGAUUUUUUUGCCACGCUGAAAACCACAACCUUUGCCCUCAAAUUGUGGAUCUGUGUGCGUGUGUGAUAUUUUUAAAAAAUUACCCAAUUUUCUGUCAAAGAUCUCAACAAGCAUUAAUACCAACCCAAAUUAACUCAUAAAUCCAUUACAUUUGUACCUGGGAAAGCUCCUCUCAGCUCGGACCACUUCUCUCUAUUUUCACUGCAAGCUUCCCUCGCGAAUUGUGGCUGUGAAAGAAAGUGAAAAAAUAUGGGUUUUUGGAGUUAGGGUUUGGUUCAGGAGAGAAGAAGGGAUUUGGGGGGUUUGGUUGAAAGAGAGAAGAAGGGAUUUAGGGUUUUGAUUCAACACAGAAGAAAUGAUUUCGGGUAAAUCUCACUAUUAUAUUUUAGUAAAUAUUUUUUAAAAAAUAUUGCCACAUGGAGUGUCUACAUGUCAUAUGAGCCAUGUCACUGGCUUAAGUGGAACAUGACUUUGCUGAGUAAUUGAUUAUGUCAAAGUGUAUGAGGGUAUUUUUGGAAGGCUCCUCAAUAUCACUAUUACAGUGUAUGAAAGGUGAUUUAUUUUUCACAAAAUCCAUUGAAUUUGAAAAGUAAAAAGUUAAGUUUCCAAAAGGCAAAAUUUUGCCCCUUGGUGUAUGGUUACAUAAAUUCCCCUAAAAUAAAGUGGGUAAAGUAAGUAACGGACUUUGACAAUUAAUUUAAUGAAUUUUUUUGGUUCCCUUAAAAACUUUUUCUGUUAAAAAAUGAAAAACUUCACUAAAUUUGAAUUAAAAAUUCCAUAUAGUUUUUAAAAUGACCACAACCUAUAAUUUGCAUAGACUAAGGGCAAGGAGAUAUUUUAUACCCAUACUUUAAUGACGCUUCUCUGAAGCGCCAAGUUAUAGAAUUAACAUUAUCACACUUUGAAUAUGCACCAUUAUAUACCCAAUAAUACCUAAAUAAGCCUUAUCAAACGAUGAUGCUUCUAAUAAGCAUCAUGGAUUGAAAAAUACUACACUAAACAAUGAUGCUUUUAUUGGGUUUUUCCUCAUAUGGAAGGCCCAAAUUAAGAGCCCAAAAUUUAAGCUCUCUUAGGCCUUUAUAUAAAAGGGUUAAAAGAAAAAUCCUUCUUCUUCUUCUUCUUCCAAUUUUUUUUUGCAGCCACUAGAGAUAGAAGAAAAAAAUAUUAGAAGGAGAAAAGAGAGAGAGAAGGGGAAAACCACCAUUUUUUGAAACUAGAGAGAAAAAAACUCAAUUUUUCUUCACUGUCCAGAUUUCAUCAAAGGUUUGAUCCCGCUUCAUCUGUGGGCCAAUCGACUUGAUAUUUGAAGGAGAGGUUCGUGACUCAUUGAUCUUCAAUCUGAACGGUAAAGAUCGGAUUUGGAGUUCCGUACGGUCUUCUUUCAGUCCGAGAAUAGAGCCUCUGUUUUAGUGAGUUUUCUAUCCGAACAGUUUUGAUCAUGAGCUUCGAUCAAGUUUAAUCCGUGGUUCGAUUGAGUUGAUUUUUGGUAAGCACGUUUAGAACUUGUUGAUCUUCAUUCUGAACGGUGAAAAUUGGAUUUGGAGUUCGAAACAGUUAUAUUUCAGUCUGAGAACAAUGAUUGUGUUUGGUGAGAUUUCUCCAUUGUCUUUUAUGCAAAGUUGUUGAAAUUGCCAAGAUUAAUUUGUUUUGAGAUAUGACUGAUGUAUGCCUCUAGUUUUAUCUAGAGAGAAUUGUGUAACCCAUUGAUUAUAUCAGUGGAGUUUUUAAGUGGCCUAAGGGUCCCGUGGUUUUUACUUCUCACAUUAGAGAAGGUUUUCCACGCUAAAAAUUGUUAGUGUUCAUAUAUUUGUUGAUUGGGUGAAUUAUUAUUGCUCUAUUUGAUUGAUUCCUAUUAGGUUCUCACAAGAAGGGAUAAAACCUGGUUGCGCAUUGUUUGUGUUUAUUCCAUCAAAGUGGUAUCAGAGCAUUGGUUUAAGAUAAUUUGUGCCUUGUGUAGAACAAUGAAAACUAAUACAAGUAGAAUGAUUACUCUGAAUGGCUCCAAUUAUCAUGUUUGGAAAGGAAAGAUGGAAGACUUAUUGUAUGUGAAGGAUUAUUAUUUUCUUGUGUUUGCUUCUGGAAAGCCAAAAAAUAAAACUGAUGCAGAAUGAAAUUUACUUCAUCGGCAGGCUUGUGGUUAUAUCAAACAGUGGGUAGAUGAUAAUGUUCUCAAUCAUGUUAGUGAAGAGAAACAUGCAUGGAGUUUAUGGAACAAACUCGAACAGUUAUAUGCUAAAAAGACUGGUAACAAUAAAUUAUUUCUGAUCAAGAAUAUGAUUAGCUUGAAGUAUUAAGAUGGAACUCCUAUGACAGAUCACUUGAAUACAUUCCAAGGUAUUAUUAAUCAGUUGGCUGGAAUGAAUAUCAAGUUUUAGGAAGAGGUGCAAGGGUUGUGGCUUCUUAGUACAUUGACGAACUCGUAGGAGACAUUUAGAACUUCUUUGUCUAACUCAGCUCUAGAUGGUACUAUGAAUAUAGAUUUGGUUAAGAGUUGUGUUCUGAAUGAAGAGAUGAAAAGAAAGUCAUAGGGUUCCCCUUCACAGUCAGAUGUCCUAGUUACUGAAAAAAUGGGGAGGAGUAAGAGUAGAGGUUCAAAGAACAAAGAUAGAAGCAAAAGCAAGACUAACAAGUUUGCCAAUGUUGAGUGUCACUAUUUCCUUUUGAAAGGGCAUAUAAUAAAGUAUUGUCGCCAAUUGAAGAGAGAUAUGAAACAAGGGAAAGUGAAGAACAAGAAGAAUGAUAAUGGUGGUGAAGAUGAUCGAGUUACCACUACUACUUCAGAUUUCCUUAUUGUUUAUGAUAGUGAUGUUGUUAAUUUUGCUUGCUAGGAGACUAGUUGGGUGAUUGAUAGCGGUGCCUCAAUCCAUGCUACACCUCGGAAAGAUUUCUUUACAUCUUACAUAUUCGGUGAUUUGGAAGUGUUAGAGUGGGUAAUGAUGGCUCAGCUAAAGCCCUUGGUAUGGGAGAUGUGCGUUUGAGACUAGUAAUGAUACUAUGUUGAUUUUGAAGAAUGUCAAACAUAUUUCGGAUAUCCGCAUGAAUUUAAUCUCUAUAGGUAAGCUUGAUGAUAAAGGGUUUUACAACACCUUUCGUGAUAGUCAGUGAAAGCUCACUAGAGGUUCUAUAGUGGUAGCAAAAGGAAAGAAGUGUUCCUCAUUGUAUUUGAUGUAGGCAAGGGUAAUUGAUUCCAGUAUCAAUGCAGUGGAUGAUGAUAGCAUAGUUGAGCUUUGGCACAACAGACUCAGUCACAUGAGUGAGAAGGGCUUGAUGAUUUUGGCUAAGAAGAAUCUUCUUUCUGGUAUGAAGAAAGGAUCUUUGAAAAGGUGUGCUCAUUGCUUAGUAGGAAAGUAGACCAGAGUUGCAUUCAAAACACACCACCAUACAAGGAAGUCAGGUAUGCUUGAUUUAGUGUAUUCUGAUGUGUGUGGUCCUAUGAAAACAAAAACACUUAGUGGAUCUCUAUAUUUUGUGACUUUUAUAGAUGAUCAUUCAAGAAAUAUUUGGGUGUAUGCCUUGAAAACAAAAGACCAAGUAUUAGAGGUGUUUAAGCAGUUUCAUGCUCUUGUUGAGAGACAAUCUGGUGAAAAAUUGAAAUGCAUCUGGACUGAUAAUGAGGGUGAGUAUUCUAGUCCUUUUGAUGAGUAUUGUAGACAACAUGGUAUUCGACAUCAAAAGACACCUCCUAAGACUCCUCAGUUGAAUGGGUUGGCUAAGAGAAUGAAUAAGACACUGGUUGAAAGGGUGAGAUGUUUACUUUCGCAGUCACAGUUUCCAAGAUCCUUUUGGGGUGAGGCUUUGAAUACUGUUAUACAUGUUCUUAAUCUUACACUAUGUGUUCCUUUAGAAUUUGAUGUUCCGGAUAGAAUUUGGUCAGAUAAUGAAAUCUCUUAUGAUCACUUGCGUGUCUUUGGAUGCAAGACUUUUGUGCACAUUCCGAAAGAUGAGAGGUCUAAGCUUGAUGCUAAGACAAGACCUUGUGUAUUCAUUGGCUAUGGUCAGGAUGAGCAUGGUUACAAGUUUUAUGAUCCGGUGCAGAAAAAGCUUGUAAGAAGCCGAGAUGCUAUGUUUAUGGAAAUCAUACCAUACAAGACAUUGAGAUGACUGAUGCAACAGAGUUUCAGUAUAGUGAUAAUCUGAUUGACUUAGAUCCAGUUCCUUUGACACAUCUUCCUACAUAGGUUGAAGAUGAAACACAUGAGGACCAACCUAACAUUGGUGGUGUUGAAACUCCCACACAGGUUGAGAUGGAUAAUGAUGUUCAUGAGCAGUCACCAGUAGCAGAGGCUCCACCAGAUAUUCCACUCAGGAGGUCUACUAGAGACCGACAUCCUCCCACAUGGUAUUCUGUUGAUGAUUAUGUAUUACUAACUGAUGGGGGAGAACCUAAAAUUUAUGAGGAAGCCAUGGGAGAUGAAAAUAAGAUGAAGUGGGUUGAUACUAUGCAAGAUGAGAUGAAGUCAUUGCAUGAGAAUCGUUCUUUUGAGCUUGUCAAGUUGCCAAAGGGAAAAAGAGCUUUGAAGAACAAGUAGGUUUAUAGAGUGAAGCAAGAAGAACACACUUCACAACCACGUUACAAAGCUAGAUUGGUUGUCAAAGGAUUCAGUCAAAAGAAAGAUAUUGAUUUUGAUAAGAUUUUUUCUCCUGUUGUUAAGAUGUCAUCUAUUCAUGUAGUUUUGGGCUUGACAACUAGUCUUGAUUUGGAGAUUGAGCAAAUGGAUGUUAAUACUGCAUUUCUCCAUGGUGAUUUAGACAAAGAAAUUUAUAUGGAACAACUAGAGGGUUUCACAAUAAAAGGAAAAGAGGAUUAUGUGUGUAAGUUGAAGAAAAGUCUUUAUGGCUUGAAGCAGGCACCGAGGCAGUGGUAUAAGAAGUUUGAAUCAGUUAUGGGGAAGCAAGGCUACCGAAAAACUUCUUCUGACCAUAGCGUAUUUGUGCAGAAAUUCUCUGAUGAUGAUUUUGUUAUAUUGUUGCUCUAUGUUGAUGAUAUUUUGAUUUGAUAGAAAUGUUUCAAGAAUUGAUAAGUUGAAGAAGCAAUUAAGCAAAUCCUUUUCCAUGAAGGAUUUGGGGUCAGCAAAGAAAAUUCUAGGUAUUAGAAUUGAGCGAGAUAGAGUAUCCAAGAAGCUGUAUAUGUCACAGGAGCAAUAUAUUGAAAAGGUGCUUGAAAGAUUAAACAUGAGCAAAGCUAAAGUAGUUAGUUCUCUUCUAGCUAGUCACUUUAAGCUAAGCAGCAGACAUAGCCCUUUUACAGAUAAGGAGAAGGAAGACAUGAGAAGAGUUCCAUAUGCCUCAAUAGUAAGAAGUUUGAUAUAUGCCAUGGUAUGUACUAGACCAGACAUAGCUUAUGCCAUUGGUGUUGUUAGCUGCUUUCUAUCUAAUCCAAGAAGACUACAUUGGGAGGCAAUUAAGUGGAUUAUGAGAUCUUUGCUAGACACUUCCAAGUUGAAACUCACUUUUGGAAGUAGGAAACUAAUACUUGUUGGAAUCAACCUUCAUGGUAUGACCUCCAAAUAUAGGUGCCCCAACUUUUGGUCAAUUUUUGAAGUAUUGGGAAUUCCAAUUGCACUUACAUUUGAUAAGUACUUUGUAUAAAACUCGAUGUUUUCCUUUGCAAUAUAGCAUUUGGCAAUGCAACCUUUGGGUUGUUUACUGUUUCGUACAUAGCCUUUUAACACUUUCUUGAACCUUUCAAAUGGGUACAUCUACCUAAGGUAAACCAGUCCACAAAGUCUCACCUCUUUUAUAAGAUGCACCAUAAGAUGUACCAUGAUAUCAAAGAAUGAAGGUGGGAAAUACUUUUCAAACAAGCACAAUGUCGCCACAACCUCAUUUUGUAACUCAUCUAAUGUAGACCUCAACCACUUUAUUACAGAGAGCAUUGAAAAAGGAACUCAAUCUACAGAUGGCAUUCCUCACAAGCUUUGGAAAAAUAGUUUGUAAUGAAACUGCCAAUAACUGUUGCAUUAAUGUAUGAUAGUCAUGGGAUUUCAAGCCAUAAAGCUUCAAGUCUUCCAUUAACACAAUGUUUCGAAGGUUAGAGCAAUAUCCAGAAGGAACCUUCAAUUGUGAAAGAGUUUGGAAAAAUACCUUCCUUUCCAUUUUGGAAAGUGUAUAACAUGUAGGAGGGAGAUAUGUUCUCUUUGAUUCAAACCUUGGUGCCAAUUCACUUCUUAAGCCCAUGUCUACGAGAUCUAAACGAUAGUUGAGUUCAUCCUUUGUCUUACCUGGAAUGUUGAGUAAGAUACUAAUGAUGUUUUCACAAACAUUUUUCUCAAUAUGCAUUACAUCCAAAUUAUGACGAACAUGAAGAUAUUUUCAAUACUCAUGAUCAAAGAAUAUGAACUUCUUCUUCCAACAAUUUGCAUUGAUAACUUUGGAUUUACCACGAUUAACUUUUUUUUCCUCCAUGAAUUACAAAUGAAAUUAAUUUUCCUGAGAAUUUCCUUUCCACUUAAUAUUUGUGGAGGUGACCUAAACUCUUGUUCACCAUCGAAUGUUUUUUUUUUUUGUUUCCUAAAUGGAUGGUUGCAUGGAAGAAAUUGUCUAUGUCCUGUAUAUGAGUUAUUUUUUUACAUGUUUCAAUCUAUGAGAAUAUGUUUCUUCCCUGUAUAUUGGACAACCAAAAUAUCCUUUAACUGUGCACUCAGACAAGUUUCCAUAUACAGAGAAGUCACUGAUUGUCCAUAAUGGAACAAAUCUUAAUGUAAAGAACUCUCGUUGAUGUUCAUUGUAAGCUUGGACUCCGACCUCUCAUAAUGUUUUAAGAUCUUCUAUCAACGAUGUUAAAUAGAUGUUAAGGUCAUUACUAGGUUUUCGUGGACCUAAAAUUAACAAAGAUAACAUCAUAAAUUUUAUCUUCAUGCACAACCAUGGAGGAAGGUUAUAAAUUAUCAUGAGAAUAGACCAAAAACUAUGUUUGCUACUUAAUGAACUGUGAGGAUUUAUGUCAUCUGCUGAGAUGACAAGUCUUAGGUUUCUAGGUUCUAAGGAAAACUCGGGCCGUCUAUGGUCAACUAGCUUCCAUGAUGGUGAGUCUGAUGGAUGACACAUUUUCCCAUCAAAAUCUCUUUCUUUGGCAUGCCAUAUGAGGUAUUUUGCGAUUUUUGAUGAUUGAAACAUUCUUCUAAAUCUUGGAACUGGAGGAAAAUACCACAUUACUUUUGCAAGAACUCCCUUCCUCUUUUUAGUUUCUGUCAUGUUUGUCUUCCACCUUGAAGUUCCACAAGAAGGACAUGAGGAUGCAUCUUUCAACUCAUUCCUAUAAAGUAUACAAUCAUUAGGACAUGCAUGUAUUUUCUCAUAUUCAAUUCCCAAUGUAUUCAAUGUCUUUUUUUGCUUCAUACAUAGACAAAGGCAACUCAUUAUUUACAAGCAACAUAUUUCCAAGCAUUUCUAAAAGCUUUGAAAAGCUUUUAGCAAACUGCCCAAAGCAUGCUUUUAGGUUGUACAAUUCAAUCAAUGUAGACAAUUUUGUAAAAAUUCUACAACUAGGAUAUAAAGGUUUUUUUACAUCUUUCAAUAAUAUUUGAAAUGAUUCUAGGUCAUUUUUACAAUCCUCCUGUGCAACUUGAACCAUUUCUAUUGUAUUAUGCACAUCAUCAAAUUAAACUCUAUCAUAAUGUUUUGCUCUUGUAGUUGGUGGUCCAAUUGGAGUUGCCUCUCCAUGCCAAUACCAUGUAUUAUGGUAACUUUGAUCAAUUUCGUGGAAAAACAUAUGCUCUCUAAUCUUUUGAGGAGUAUGGAAUAUCAUAUUACCACACUAUAAGUAUGGACAUUUAAUGGAGUUUUUAUUUUCAGAAUUUUGUAUUGCAAAUGUGAUAAAAUGUGAUAAAAUGUUCUACCCCAUCCUUGUACUCCUUCGAUCUUCUAUCCUUUGAAAUCUAUGAACGAUCCAUUUUUUAAUAACAAACUUCCAAUAGUGAUCAAACUUCAAAUUGAAGAAAAUAUCAACAUUUUCUAUGUCAUUCAUUUAGCAACCUCUCUUUCCUCUGUUCAAAGAAUAAUCAGGAAUCAAUUUAAUACAACAUUUGCUUAAGAUGCUAGAUUUAAGAGAAAAAGUGUGAGCAUUAAUGUCCUAACCAUUUUGAAUUGUGUACAUAGAUUUACACUAUUGGAAUAACACGCUAAUUAUUGACAAUUUUAAAAAGUGCUAAGGAAAAAAAAGGUCAUUGUAUAUAUUAUAUAUAGUAGUGAUUAAGAAGCUAUAAAUGUUAUUGACCUUGAAUACUUGCAUUAAAGAGGAUGUACAAUCUCAAUUAAACAAGUGCAUAUUAAUAUUAUUAACAUGUACAAUUCAAGUUGUGUUGCAUUUUUUUUAUGGCAUUUAACAUCUCCAACUUUGUAAAUUAGGGAAUGGUUCCUAUCCCAUAUAAGAAUACAUAAUCUCUAUGAGUCAACUGCCAAUAUGCUCAAUUUAAUUUAAAAAGAUUUCAGCAACAUUUCCUUAUGAUUCUCCAAGUACACAAAAUGGAUAAGGCAUAAUAUGUAACCUUGUCCAAGUAUGUACCCAAAGAACAAGAAGAAAGAGUACCAAAAUUUAUUUAAAAUGAAUUAAGAAUAAGCAAUUAAUUUCAUUGAUAUUAUGUUUUCCUACACUGUCCAGUCAAACAAUUCAAACAUCAUUUGUAGAGAAAAAAUCUUUAUCACAUGGUAGACAAUUUAAAAGUUGUCAACGUGAAACUAGUAUAGAUAAAACCAUUUUCACCUUUUGACAACUAAAAUGUCUUUACUAUGUAAUAACAAAAACUUUUGUUUGACAAUGAUACUUGAACGGGAACUCUAAGGUUGUAUGCAAGCAUAGUUGAUUAAAAUUAAAACACAAUUACUUACUAAAAUAUUACAACAAAACAACAUAACUCUCAUUCUAUUACGUUUAUCUUAAAUAUAUAACAUUUAACAUGGAGACCCAAAAACCUUUUCACAACUUAGAGAGAAACAUCUUCUACAAAAAGGUCCACACCAAAUUUAAUCAAAUUAAUCUAAAUUGGCAAUUUUAAAUAAACAUCAAGUAAUUAUCCUUCAAAACAAAUAAUAAGACAAUCAAAAUUUUACAACUAAUUUUUUUGUCCAAAUUUUAGCCUAUAAUGGUAUUUUGUGAACUAAAUAAUUUUAACUUGUCUCUAUGCAGUGCUUUUAUAUUUGGUGUUUUUUAGAAGAAUUGACAAGCAUUAUAGGGAUAAUAUAUGGUUUAACAUAUAUUUUUUUUCAUUUAAAAUAAAAAUUAUGAAAACAUUAAGUAUUAAGAUGACAAUAUUUUUGGUUUGAUUACAAUUUUAAUCUCUUUAUUAUAAAACUAAUAUAAUAUACAUCUAAAUAAUGUGUAAAGAAAUUCUAGAUGCCUAUGUAAAUAAAUAAAUAGUGCAUCCUAAUGAAAAAACUGAGAAUUAAUUUCAUAUUUUGGAACAUUCUAUACAAUCAAUGAUAUGAAUAAAUUAGAUUAAACAAUAUAAUCAAUUAAAUCAAUUAACAUUUCAUCACUUAAAAUUAAUACAUGCAAACCUAGGUGUUAGUGUGUGAAGCAUGACUCGCUUUGUAAACCAUAUAUCAUAAUAUAGGAGCACACGGUAAUGAAUAGGGAACAUGGUUUUCAUAAUUUUAAAAAAUUAAUACAUAAAUUUUGAAAUUAUAAUUUUAACCUUUUAAAUAUCUAAACUAAGUAAUCAUCAUAAUAGGAAAUUUAUCCCAAAUACCCUUUUGAACCAAAUAUCCUAAAAUUGUUUUUAGGUUAUAAUUAAAUUUUGUGUUAUCAAUUUUAAUUUAAUUUUUACUAUUUUCUGUUUUCAAAUGGUUUGGUAAAUCAUUUUAAUAUAUUUAUAAUCAAUCAAGUAAAUUAAUUUAAUAUAAAAUAUAUUUAUUUAAAAUAAUUUUUAGUUUAAUAAAUAAAAUAUUCAUAUUAUACUUUUACGAUCAUAUUUUAUCCAUAUAAAUAAUAUUCACCCAUGAUAAUAUUUAUAUUUCUUUUAUAUCAUAUUUCCUACAAGAUCUCAUAUUUGAUUUUAUUUCAUGUCAUUUUGAACCUUUUAAAAAGUUCUUAAGAAAACUUUGAAACAUAGAAUUGGUUUAUUCCCUUUUUCGUUUUUCUGUUAUUUUUAUAUAAAAUAAAAAUAGAGAAAAUACCCAUAUUUGAACAAUAUACCUAUAAAUUUGGAAUUCUUUUAUGAAAAAAUCAAUUAAAAUGAAUGAGAUAAUAUUUCUAUUUUCAUCCUUGAACUAUUUAAUCGAAAAGAUAAGGAUUAAAAAAUUGUAGAAGGCAUUUUUUUCUUCUUAUUUUUAAAAGAUAAAGAUCAUUGUUUUGAAUUUUGUGUUUCAAUAUACCUUAACCAAAUAACCGUUUCUUUAUUAAAUAUUCAUUUUAUUUUAUUUUUAUCAAAUUGAUAAUAUUAAUAUACGACAAUAAUAAAUGAUUAAGAAGAAAAUAGUAAUAAAAGCAACAGAGAAAAUGAUGACGAAUAGAAUGAAGAAAGAAGAAAUCUUUUGCCUGGACAAUGCCACAUCAAAGCAAAAUGAGACCAAGGGAGGAAGUGCUCUGGAGGCUUCAAGCCUUGAAUGGAUGCCAACAAGGCGUAGUGGAGCCAUCCCCUUGACUCACGCCUGAGCAAAGCCUGAGCCAUGGUAACAAAUAUCUUUGAAUAAAGAAUAUUUUUCUUACAUACCCCAAUUAUUGUUAUAUCUAAUUGACACCAUAGUACGUGCUAAUAUGCCUAAAAAACUUGUUAGAUGCAAAGAAGCUUGUCCAACAUAAAUACCAUCGGGAUUGUACUUCAUCAUAAGCUUUACCCUUCUACUCUAGUUCUUGAUAAUCAUAGACUUUUGAGUUAUCCCUCUACACCUCCUUUUUGUAGGUGGUUUUUCUCCUUGCUCUAGAUCCCUACUUGUAAUAAAAAUAGUUAUAAAGUUUAAAAGUAAGUUUAUAAAAUAUCCAUAAAUCCAUACAAAAUUUGUAUGAAAUAUCUAACUAAAAUUUUAAGUAUCAAAACUUCAAUUGAGCUAUAUAGAACACAAUAUUGAAAAUAGAUCUGUCAAUGUUUUUUUGAAGCCAAUCUGACAUUAACUAAAAUUGAAACCAUACCAAUUAUCUAAUAGUAUAGACAAAUGAACCAAUAAGCAUAAGGUUUACCUUCUAGAAAACUAUACUAGCAUAUCAAUUCACCACAUAAAAAAUGAACAACAACUACUUAGACAAAUACAUGUUGCAAUAAAAACUAAAAUGCAUUUUGAAAUAAAAUAAAAUUUUGAUCACAUCAUUAUAACAAGCCUUCAAUUCAUUUACAUAUAAGAUUUGUUCUUAACCCAAAUCCCCUCACCAUCACGUCACAUACAAAUUGCAUCAAAGUCUUCCAUAGCAUCAAAUGAUUCAACUUGUGGCAAAGAAAAAAUGACUGGAUGGUGUUCAAUAGAGUUGUCCAUGAGAUCAUCACCCUCGUCCCUUUCCAAGAAGUCUUGUUGAGAAGUUGAUAAAACAAUUGACCAUCUUGGAUCAAGUUCAUCUUGUACGUAUAAAACUUGCUUAGCCUAAGAAGCUAAAAUGAAAAGAUUUGAUUUAUGAGCCAUUUUGUUGAAGUCAGCUAAGGUUAACCUAAGAUCAUCAACUCUAAUUCUGUUCUUAUUAUCAACCCAAUCACAAUUGAAGAUUGGAAUCCUAAACAUGGUAAAAUCAAGGUUCCAAAUCUCAGUAAUAACCCCAUAGAAACAAACCUCACCAAAUACUGGAUUUUUAUCCUUGGCACUAGCAAUUUGCAUUGUUGUUGCUACAAUAUUGACUCCACUGUUUUGGGUAGCUCGUAAAUCAUCAUGCCCCUUGGUAUGGUAGUGGCACCCAUAAUGACACAACCUUGAUACUUAAACACAUAAUGGCUAGGACCAUGAGCUAUCCAUUUAAGGGUUUUAGAUUAGGUUCUUCAUUACUAAUGGCAACUUCAACUUGUAUAGAUAAGUUAUAGUUAUUAUUAACAUAGAUAACCAUGAGUGUAAAGAAUACGAUAAAUUUUACUACCACUCUAGUACCUUAUGUCGCAACCAAUAAGUAAAAGUACGCAUAGGCUCAUCUUGUAGCCAUUUUUGUCUUUUAGCUUGACAUGGAUAUUUCAUUUUCAACCAUUUCAUGUGAUCUUUAUGAAGUCAUGUAUAAUAAUUUUAUAGUUAGUAUCCUAUAUUUAUUAUAAGUAUGAUAAACAAAGAAACAAAAGUGUGUCCCACUUACUUGACAUAAGGUUGGAUGAUUGUUGUAUUCUCCAACACAUAAUGAUGUGCUUGUAACCAUAAAUUGGAAUCAACCUUCAUGGUAUGACCUCCAAAUAUAGGUGCCCCAACUUUUGGUCAAUUUUUGAAGUAUUGGGAAUUCCAAUUGCACUUACAUUUGAUAAGUACUUUGUAUAAAACUCGAUGCUUUCCUUUGCAAUAUAACAUUUAGCAAUGCAACCUUUGGGUUGUUUACGAUUUCGUACAUAGCCUUUUAACACUUUCUUAAACCUUUCAAAUGGGUACAUCUACCUAAGGUAAAUCGGUCCACAAAGGCUCACCUCUUUUACAAGAUGCACCGUAAAAGAUGUACCAAGAUAUCAAAGAAUGAAGGUGGGAAAUACUUUUCAAACAAGCACAAUGUCACCACAACCUCAUUUUGUAACUCAUCUAAUGUAGACCUCAACCACUUUUACUAUAGAGAGCAUUGAAAAAUGAACUCAAUCUACAAAUGCCAUUCCUCACAUGCUUUGGAAAAAUAGUUUGUAAUGAAACUGUCAAUAACUAUUACAUUAAUGUAUGAUAGUCAUGGGAUUUCAAGCCAUAAAGCUUCAAGUCUUCCAUUGACACAAUGCUUCGAAGGUUAGAGCAAUAUCCAGAAGGAACCUUCAAUUGUGAAAGAGUUUGGCAAAAUACCUUCCUUUCCAUUUUGGAAAGUGUAUAACAUGUAGGAGGGAGAUAUGUUCUCUUUGAUUCAAACCUUGGUGCCAAUUCACUUCUUAAGCCCAUGUCUACGAGAUUUAAAUGAUAGUUGAGUUCAUCCUUUGUCUUACCUGGAAUGUUGUGUAAGAUACUAAUGAUGCUUUCACAAACAUUUUUCUCAAUAUGCAUUACAUUCAAAUUAUGAUGAACAUGAAGAUAUUUUCAAUACUCAAGAUCAAAGAAUAUGAACUUCUUCUUCCAACAAUUUGCAUUGAUAACUUUGGAUUUACCACGAUUAACUUUUUUUUCCUCCAUGAAUUACAAAUGAAAUUAAUUUUCUUGAGAAUUUCCUUUCCACUUAAUAUUUGUGGAGGUGGCUUAAACUCUUAUUCACCAUUGAAUGUUUUUUUUUUCCCUAAAUGGAUGGUUACAUGGAAGAAACCAUCUAUGUCCUGUAUAUGAGUUAUUUUUUUCCCUGUUUCAAUCUACGAGAAUAUGUUUAUUUAUUGCAUAUUGAAUAACCAAAAUAUCCUUUAACUGUGCACCCAAACAAGUUUUCAUAUACAGGAAAGUCACUGAUUGUCCAUAAUAGAACAACUCUUAAUGUAAAGAACUCUUGUUGAUGUGCAUCAUAAGCUUGGACUCUGAUCUCCCACAAUGUUUUAAGAUCUUCUAUCAACGAUGCUAAAUAGAUGUAAAUGUCAUUCCCAAGUUUUCGUGGACUUGAAAUUAACAAAUAUAACAUCAUAAAUUUUUUCUUCAUGCACAACCAUGGAGGAAAGUUAUAAAUUAUCAUGAGAAUAGGCCAACAGCUAUGUUUGCUACUUAAUGAACUGUGAGGAUUUCUACCAUCUGCUGAGAUGACAAGUCUCAGGUUUCUAGGUUCUGAGGAAAACUCAGGCCAUCUAUGGUCAACUAGCUUCCAUGAUGGUGAGUCUAAUGGAUGACGCAUUUUCCCAUCAAAAUCUCUUUCUUUGGCAUGCCAUAUGAGCUUUUUUGUGAUUUUUGAUGAUUGAAACAUUCUUCUAAAUCUUGGAACUGAAGGAAAAUACCACAUUACUUUUGCAGGAACUCCCUUCCUCUUUUUAGUUCUUGUCCUAUUUGUCUUCCACCUUGAAGUUCCACGAGUAUGACAUGAGGAUGCAUCUUUCAACUCAUUCCUAUAAAGUAUACAAUCAUUGGGACAUGCAUGUAUUUUCUCAUAUUCCAUUCCCAAUGCAUUCAAUGUCUUUUUUGCUUCAUACAUAGACAAAGGCAACUCAUUAUUUACAAGCAACAUAUUUCCAAGCAUUUCUAAAAGCUCUGAAAAGCUUUUAUCAAACUACCCAAAGCGUGCUUUUAUUUUUAUAAUUUAAUCAAUGUAGACAAUUUUGUAAAGUUUCUACAACUAGGAUAUAAAGGUUUUCUACAUCUUUCAAUAACCAUUUCUAUUGUAUUAUGCACAUCAUCAAAUUGAACUCUAUCAUAAUAUUUUGCUCUUAUAGUUGGUGGUCCAAUUGGAGUUGCCUCUCCAUGCCAAUACCAUGUAUGGUAACUUUGAUCAAUUCCAUGGAAAAACAUAUGCUUUCUAAUCUUUUGAGGAGUAUGGAAUAUCAUAUUACCACAUUGUAAGUAUGGACAUUUAAUGGAGUUUUUAUUUACAGAAUUUUGUAUUGUAAAUGUGAUAAAAUGUUCAACCCCAUCCUUAUACUUCUUCGAUCUUCUAUCCUUUGAAAUCUAUGAACGAUCCAUUUUUUAAUAACAAACUUCCAAUAGUGAUCAAACUUCAAAUUGAAGAAAAUAUCAAUAUUUUCUAUAUCAUUCAUUUAGCAACCUUUCUUUCCUCUGUUCAAAGAAUAAUCAAGAAUCAAUUUAAUACAACAUUUGAUUAAAAGGCUAGAUUUAAGAGAAAAAGGGGUGAGCAUUAAUGUCCUAACCAUUUUGAAUUUUGUAUAUAGAUUUACACUAUUGGAAUAACACACUAAUUAUUGACAAUUUUAAAAAGUGCCAAGGAAAAAAAAGGUCAUUGUAUAUGUUAUACAUAGUAGUGAUUAAGAAGCUAUAAAUGUUAUUGACCUUGAAUACUUGCAUUAAAGAUGAUGUACAACCUCAAUUAAACAAGUGCAUAUUAAUAUUAUUGACAUAUACAAUUCAAGUUGUGUUGCAUUUUUUAUGGCAUUUAACAUCUCCAACUUCGUAAAUUAGGGAGUGGUUCCUAUCCCAUAUAAGAAUACAUAAUCUUUAUGUGUCAACUGCCAAUGUGCUCAAUUUAAUUUUAAAAAAAAAAAAAAAAAUGGCAGCAUUUCCCUAUGGUUCUCCAAGUACACAAAAUGAACAAGACAUAAUAUGUGACCUUGUCCAAGUAUGUACCCAGAGAACAAGAAGAAAGAGUACCAAAAUUUCUUUAAAAUGAAUUAAGAAUAAGCAAUUAACUUCAUAGCUAUUAUGUUUUCCUACACUAUCCAAUCAAACAAUUCAAACAUCAUUUGUAGAGAAAAGAUCUUUAUCACAUGGUAGACAAUUUAAAAGUUGUCAUCGUGAAACUAGUAUAGAUAAAACCAUUUUCACCUUUUGACAACUAAAAUGUCUUUACUAUCUAAUAACAAAAAUUUGUCUCACAAUGAUACUUGAACGAGAACUCUAAGAUUGCAUGCAAGCAUAGUUGAUUAAAAUUAAAACACAAUUACUUACUAAAAUAUUACAAAAAAAAAAAACAUAACUCUCAUUCUAUCAUGUUUAUCUUAAAUAUAUAACAUUUAACAUGGAGACCUAAAAACCUUUUCGCAACUUAGAGAGAAACAUCUUUUACAAAAAGGUCUACACCAAAUCUAAUCAAAUUAAUCUAAAUUGACAAUUUUAAAUAUACAUCAAGUAAUUAUCCUACAAAACAAAUAAUAAGGCAAUCAAAAUUUUAUAAUUAAUUUUUUGGUCCAAAUUUUAGCCUAUAAUGGUAUUUUGUGAACUAUAUAAUUUUAACUUGUCUCUAUGUAGUGCUUUUAUAUUUGGUGUUUUUGAGAAGAAUUCACAAGCAUUAUAGGGAUAAUAUAUGGCUUAACAUACAUUUUUUUUUCAUUUAAAAUAAAAAUUAUGAAAACAUUAAGUAUUAAGAUGGCAAUAUUUUUGGUUUGAUUAAAAUUUUAAUCUCUUUAUUAUAAAACUAAUAUAAUAUACAUCUAAAUAAUAUGUAAAGAAAUUCUAGAUGCCUAUGUAAAAAAAUAAAUAGUGCAUCCUAAUGGAAAAACUAAGAAUUAAUUUCAUAUUUUGGAACAUUCUAUAUAGUCAAUGAUACAAAUAAAUUAGAUUAAACAAUAUAUUCAAUUAACAUUUCAUCACUUAAAAUUAACACAUGCAAACCCUACGUGUUAGUGUGUAAAGCAUGACUCGCUUUGUAAACCAUAUAUCAUAAUAUAGGAGCACACGGUAAUGAACAGGGAACAUGGUUUUCAUAAUCUUAAGAAAUUAAUAAAUAAAUUUUGAAAUUAUAAUUUUAACCUUUUAAAUAUCUAAACUAAGCAAUCAUCGUAAUAGGAAAUUUAUCCUAAAUACCCCUUUGAACCAAAUAUCCUAAAAUUGUUUUUAGGUUAUAAUUAAAUUUUUGUGUUAUCAAUUUUUAUUUAAUUUUUACUAUUUUCUAUUUUCAAAUGGUUUGGUAAAUUAGUUUAAUAUAUUUAUAAUCAAUCAAGUAAAUUAAUUUAAUAUAAAGUAUAUUUAUGUAAAAUAAUUUUUAGUUUAAUAAAUAAAAAUUUAUAUUAUACUUUUACGGUAAUAUUUUAUCCAUAUAAAUAAUAUUCACCCAUCAUAAUAUUUGUAUUCCUUUUAUAUCAUAUUACCUACAAGAUCUCAUAUUUGAUUUUAUUUCCUGUCAUUUUUAACCUUUUAAAAAAUUCUUAAGAAAAUUUUGAAACAUAGAAUUGGUUUAUUCCCUUUUUCGUUUUUCUGUUAUUUUUAUAUAAAAUAAAAAUAGAGAAAAUACCCAUAUUUGAAAAAUAUACCUAUAUAUUUGGAAUUCUUUUAUAAAAAAAUCAAUUAAAAUGAAUGAGAUAAUAUUUCUAUUUUCAUCCUUGAACUAUUUAAUCGAAAAGGUAAGGAUUAAAAAAUUGUAGAAGACAUUUUUUUCUUCUUAUUUUUAAAAGAUAAAGAUCAUUGUUUUGAAUUUACUGUUUCAAUAUACCUUAACCAAAAAACCGUUUCUUUAUUAAAUGUUCAUUUUAUUUUUUUAUCAAAUUGAUAAUAGUAAUAUACGACAAUAAUAAAUGAUUAAGAAGAAAAUAGUAAUAAAAGCAAUAGAGAAAAUAAUGACGAAUAGAACGAAGAAAGCAUAAAUCUUUUUCCUGGACAAUGCAACGUCAAAGCAAAAUGAGACCAAGGGAGGAAGUGCUCUGGAGGCUUCAAGCCUUGAAUGGAUGCCAACAAUGCGUAGUGGAGCCAUCCCCUGACUCACGCCUGAGCAAAGCCUGAGCCAUGGUAACAAAUAUCUUUGAAUAAAGAAUAUUUUUCUAACAUACCCCAAUUAUGUACUAAAGUAGACAGCUGAGAGUUACUACUUGUAAGCAAGAAUAGCCUGAUCAUCUUCAUUGAGGAGCAUUCAUAAACACUACUACUGUUUUAAAAGUGGAUUUAUGCAAAUUUAAUACAGAAUUCCUCCAACAAUCACCCAAGAAGACUUGAUCUUUACUUAAUUAACAAGUCCAAAUAGAGAUAUUUGGGCUUAGGUAGAGAUAUGAUCUACUGGACCUAUAUAUAAGAUGAAAUUGAAUCGUGACAUUUAUUAGUUUAUGUCAUUUUAUACGCAAUGUUGUCGUUUUCAUAGCAUAACUAUAUUUUGUUUUCCUAAAGAUCUUUUAGGCAUAUCUCAUAAUGUUAUAGAAUCUGGGUUAUAAAAUUAACUAAUUGAUAAAAUUGUUCACAAUUAUUUUUAGUAUUGUGACGUUGAUUUAAUAAAAUUCCACUUAGUAGUUUUAUAUCCCUUAAUAGCCAUGCCUCAUAGUUUUAAUAUGAAAUAUUUUUGUUUCCAUGGCUAAUCUCACCUUGUAUAUUUGAAAGCCCUGUUAUUCUUGGAGAAAUGUUAAUUAAAAACUCGAGUUUGCUCUAUUUUAGUCAUCAACAAACCCUAUCUAGUGGUAGCAAUAAAUUUACCCUGAUUAACAAUAUAAAAAAAGGCAUAAUAUAAAGGAAGAUGUGAUGUUGUAAAGAUUUGACCCCAAGAAACCAUGAAAAAUGAAACUAUUGCAAUUUAAAUAUUAAAACUAAGCAGAGACGAGAGCUAAAUAGUGGUAUAAACCUAGAUAGUGCAAUAGGUGAAGAAAUAGCAUAGGAUCAAAUUUGUAUGCAAGUUUUUGUCUUUAAACAUGCAAUUGUUUGAAGCAUGAGAAAUUCUCAAUAUUUAAUUUCCAUUACAUUUUAUUAAUCAUUUCCUUUUAUGGACAAAGAUUUUGGAUGUAUAUAUUAGUGAAAGUGAGGACUCAAGCAUGCUAUCUGAUCAAAGAAUUUCCAAUGAUUUUUUUUUUCUAGCUCCCAAAUUUUUGCACUAGUCUCCUUUUCCAAUAAGUCACAUGGAAAAUUUUAAGACUAUCCACCUCAAAAGCAUUAGCAUUAGCAAAAAAAGCAAUUUAAACUUUUAGUUGUGUAUGGAAAGUAUGGGUGUGUAUUUCAUUUUCAGUAAGAAAAAAUAGCAGUAUGUACAUAAAUUACCUAUGACUGAGGAUCAAAGCAAAGAUGAAAACUGUGAUCUGGAAAGCUAAUGACUAUAUCCAGCUUCAGUGGCUCUUGUAUAAAUUGUCAUAACAAUGAGAUGUUUUACUAGAAAUAUCUCCAAUCUGCCUCUUAGCAAUGCUGGAAAUGCAAGAUACUUAAGAAGAAGACAUUAACUAGAUCAACAUCUUAUCUUAAAACUUCGAUUUAAGAAAAGAGUGCUAUCUUUGGGUACUUAGGAAUUCAGGGGAAGCUACUAAAACUUACUUUUGCAUGAUGUUUAGAUGAUAGUAACAUGAACAUCUAUGGCCAUGCUACUUCAUGGAUGAUUGUAUUAACAGAGCAAUUCCCGUGUCAAAAUUCCUUUAGUUAUCACACCUUGAUUCACUUCCAAGGCCCCAGUAAUAAAAAAAUAAAAGGUUUCAAGAACCCACAUAUUUGAUGAUGAAGUCUUCUGUUUCAAUUGACUUUAAAGCCACAAAACCAAUAACAUUUUGGUGACAUUAGCUUCUUCAUUAUUGGAGCUAUUCAAUAGCAAAUAACCCCCUACCCCACCAGCCAACCACCCUAAAAAAUACCUCAUGUUUUGGUCUUAAACACCCCAUACAAAUAUAACAAUUUGACUUGGAGAAUUCCAUAGAAUAUUUAGUAUGGGAACUACUCUGAAGAUUGACCUGUCUUGGCAAGAGCUCCAUAUGCAGAACCUACAGGCAUAAUCUACCCCAACUCCUACCCAAAAUUUUCGAUUAAAACAUAUAGGGUUUUACUUCGUUUAAAGAUAUAAAUCAAAUUCAUAGGAAUCGUUUUGGUUGGUAACACAUUUUUAUUUAAUAAACCCUAAAAAAGUUAUAUUAAAGGUGAUAAAAAAAUUAAUAUAAUUUUUAAUGAAAUUAAGAAAAACCAAGAAAAAAUCAGGACUUUACCUUGAAUCACUAAGUGGAUGGAGACAAUGGAAUGUCUUGCGGUCCCAAGUUGUUUCUUCUCAAAACAGUUGGAGUUAUUUUUCUCGUUUAUUUGGAGAAAAUAGGCUUUGGCCAAAUGGAAAAUGAAAGAAAAAAAUUAGGGUUUAGAUUAAAAGAAAAAACCCCACCAAAAUCUAUGCAUGUGCAAAACUUACUCUUCUAAUUAGUGGACUUCCCACUUCAACUGGUCUUUCAAUCUCGACUACAUUGAUGUAAUACUUCUAUUGUUGAAAUGAAAACCUGUAAAUCUCAUCUCACUUUUGGUUACUUCACAAAGGAGAAGGCCAAACACAACUCUGACAACUGACCACUAGUACAUCCUAGGCAAGUGAAGACUUAGGGUUUUGGAUGCUCUGAAUGUGAGAUUUGAAGGUAUGUGAAGGAAAAUCAUGUUUUGGCGGGUGAGGAAAUCGUGUGGAGGGAGUGGAAAUUUUAGGCAUGUUUUAGAUAAAUAUAUAUACUAGGUAGGAUAAUGACACUCUUUAGAAACAUCAAGAAUGCAAAAAUGUUAUAUAUCCAAUGACACUUAAAAUAAGCACCAACAUUUUUUAAUUUAUACAUAUCAACGACACUUGCAGAUGUGUCAUAGUAAACAAGCGCCAAUGUUUGGGCAUAAAAAAUAAAUAAUGACAUUUUUUUAAAAGUGCUAAGGAAGGAAGUGUCAUUGUUCUUGUUUUUUGUAGUAGUGAUGGUAUGGUGGAAUGAUUUUCUCUCAUCUGUGGGCGUACACAUGUUUGACCUAACCAUAUUAAAAUCUCUUAUAUCUUUAUGUGGAUUAUUUUAUUUUUGUGUAAUUGAACUAGUAUUGUUUGCAUCAAAGCUUUUGCUAGUUCAACAUAUAAUUUGUGGUGUAUGUUAGAAUUGUGUUGAAAGUGUAAGUCCUAUUCUCCUAUUUACAAAAGGCAUAAACUUUUGCACUCUAAACAUUUCAUGGCCAGCCUGAUUUUAUGCAUGUAUUCAAAACCAAAUGGUGAAUGAACACUUGAGUAGUAUUGGAGACGGAAAAGAAGAGAAGUAAUAUUGGAUAAAAGGGACANNNNNNNNNNNNNNNNNNNNNNNNNNNNNNNNNNNNNNNNNNNNNNNNNNNNNNNNNNNNNNNNNNNNNNNNNNNNNNNNNNNNNNNNNNNNNNNNNNNNUUACAUCACACAAAUUCNUUUUUUUGCAUUGAAUCUGGUUGAAGAGUUCACUACCAAUUUUUGAACUCUAAGAAUAAUAUGUAAGUAGUGCAGGCAAACACAGGAAUCUUGAAAGACAGAUAAAAAUCAAAUAACAGUCAAAAUAAAAUGUAAGUUUAACAACAUGAGAUACAAUGGAGAUCCGUAUCAAACUCCUCGAAGCUUCUGGGUCUCCAUAUUCUGCAGAGAAGUCUCGUCUGCAACUUUGUACAAGUCAACAGCCAAACUUCAUUUCCAAAUUGAUGAGUGUCCAAAAUGUGACCGACAAAUACGUUAUUAAAAGGGAAAAACAAAGGACAGAAAAAGAAAGAGAGGAGAAAAUCUAUGCUUGAUCUUUGGCACUGAAUUACUGGUUUUACUUCCAGUCAAUCCAUUCAGAUAUCUUCUCAACGCACAAGAAGGGAUUGAAAAAAUCCCAGCUCCAAUUUUCCAAAAAACAGCUUAGUCCACUAGUCAGUCAAGAACCAUGACGACUUGCAACACCCCAGUCUUCUUUGUUUUACAGAAGCUCUCAAUUUUAUAAGUGCAGACAGACCAGAAUCUCACUCAGCUCAGCUUCACAAAUUCAAGUCAGCAAUCACUCAAAUGCAUUAAACUAAUUUUUAUGCUCUUCUCCUAUUGAGAGAAAUAGGCAUUCACUUUGAAGAGACAACGCAAGUUUGUGUCAGUAGGUUAUAUGUGUACCCUGAUAAGCAAAUCCCCUCUACUGAUGGAGAUGCCAAGCUCUAGCUUGAGAUUACAGUGGUGGUUUUUCCUUGUCAACCUCAUCAUUUGUAUUAGUUUGCUUCGGUUGGAAUCUCUUUCCAGCACGCCCACUUUUGGAAAUGAAACUGAUAAGCUUGCAUUGCUCACCAUCAAGCAUUAUCUGGUUGAUGUUCCAAAUGGAGUUCUGAGUUCCUGGAAUGACUCUGCAUUUCUGCCAGUGGCAUGGGGUUACAUUCAGUCGCUGACAUCAGAGGGUCACAACGAGGGUCAAAGCUUAGGUGGUUCCUUACCACCUAUUGGGAACUGAACAUUCCAAAGAGAGUUGGUGUUGUCCAACAAUCACUUGCACGGUACUAUACCCAGUGACAUUGGUCUUUUACGAUGGAUGCAGCAUCUCAAUCUGAGCACAAAUUCCCUCCAAGGUGAGAUUCCGGUUGAAGUGCUUGAAAUAUUUAUAUUUGGAUGUAAAUAACCUGUCUGGUAUGAUUUCUCCCUCACUCUAUAAUAGGUCAUCUGCCAUUGAAUUUUUUGUAUCUGGCAACAUUCUGUCUGGAAAUUUUACUCCAAACAUGAGGUUUAAUUUUCCUCAACUCCGCAAGUUUGGCAUAGCAGGGUAUCAGUUUACUGGAAUAAUUCCAGAUACACUAUCCAAUAUUUCAGGACUUGAACUUUUGGAUCUAAGUAACAAUUAUCUAACUGGCCAAGUCCCUGAUAGCUUAGGAGUGCUCAAGGAUCUGUAUUGGUUGAACCUUGAAUUCAAUAAAUUAGGAAGGGGCAUGUCAGGCGAUUUAAAUUUUCCAUAUUCUUUGCCAAAUGUCAGCAGUUUAAGACUUAUCAAUCCACAUGCCAAUAAUUUCCGGGGCGUGUUACUCAUCUCCAUUGUUAAUCGAUCAACCCAACUGCAGAAGCUUAUCAUAGGGGGCAACAAAAUAUCUGGAAGCAUCCCAAAAGAGAUUGGGAACCUGAUCAGCUUAACUGUUUUCAGUGCAAUGCGGAAUAAUCUUACUGUGUCAUUCCCAUUUCAAUUGGCAAGCUUCAGAAUUUAAGAGUAUUCGACUUAAAUUGGAACAGGCUAUCAGGUCUGCUCCCAUCCACCGUCGGCAACUCAAGUCAACUAUACUACCUUGACAUGGGCUACAACAAUUUGGAAGGGAACAUUCCUACUCACAGGAACUGCCAAAAUAUGGAAAUUCUUUUCCUCGAUCACAAUAAGUUGAGUGGUAGUGUACCUGAAAAUGUCACUUGUCAUUUCAAUCAGUUGAGAUCACUCUACCUACAGCAAAACACAUUCACCGGUUCUCUCCCAACAGAUGUUGGUCAACUGAAAAACCUAAAUCAGCUGCUUGUUUCUGACAACAACUUGUCAGGCAAAAUCCCCAGGGAACUUGGCAGCUGUUCGAUAUUUGAGUACCUCGACAUGGCAAAAAACUCUUUCCAGGGAAACAUCCCUCUGUCAUUUAGCUCAUUGAGAGGUAUUCGGUUCCUAGACCUUUCAUGCAACAUCUUGCCUGGAACGAUUCCCAAAGAACUACAUCUUCUUGGUUUGUUGAGUUUAAAUCUGCCUUAUAACUACCUUGAAGGUGAGCUUCCAAGUGGAGGAGUUUUUAAAAAUGUGAGUGGGAUUUUAAUCACUGGGAACAAGAAGCUUUGUGGGGGGAAUCCCUCAACUUCAGCUGCCAGCAUGCUGUGAUGUAGAGUCAGCAAAGCAUGGCAAAGGGAAGCAUCUUUCAACCAAAAUUGUUAUAGCCAUAAGCAUUACUGGUGUUUCUUGCUUGGCUUUCAUAGUGGCUUCAGUUCUCCUCUAUGGGAGAAAAACGGCUGUAAUGAAGCCUUCUUCCACCUUUUUAAGAUAUGGAUACUUGAGGGUUUCUUACAAAGAGCUCCUCAAAGCAGCUAGUGGAUUUGCUUCUUCCAACUUGAUUGGCAUGGGAAGUUUUGGUUCCAUAUACAAAGGAAUUCUAAUUCGAGGUGAAAGACCUGUUGCAGUGAAGGUACUGAACCUUCAACACCGUGGAGCUACCAAGAGUUUCAUGGCUAAGUGCAAGGUCCUCAGGAAUAUUCAGCUUCGGAAUCUCCUUGGAUUCAUAACUUCAUGUUCAAGUGUGGACAACAAAGUUUGUGAUUUUAAGGCUCUAGUAUUUGAGUUCAUGCCUAAUGGGAACCUAGAUAGCUGGCUGUAUCAUGAAUCUAGAAAUUUAAGCUUCAGACAAAGAUUGGAUAUCGUAAUUGAUGUGGCUAAUGCUCUGGAUUAUCUUCAUCACCAAUGCCAGACGCCAAUUGUUCAUGGUGAUCUAAGGCCAAGCAAUGUUCUUCUUGAUGAUGACAUGGCUGCCCAUGUUGGGGACUUCGGGUUAGCCAACCUCCUUCCUGAAGCUAACGAGAUUCUGAGUAGUGGUCUGUAGGUUUUCAUUGAAACAGAGUGUGGAAACUCUUUGGAAGCAAUAGAACGUUGAGGAAUCUGAAGUUCUUAAUUUUAUUAAGCUUCAAACCACUUAUUUAUACAACUAGCUUAAAACAGAAAAACAUAAAAAUAGCAACAAACCUGCUACCUAUAGAUAAUUCCUAAAGAAUAGAAACAACCAACAAACUUCCUAAGAAAUAGGUAAAUCUUCCACAUGACUAACUUAUUUGACUACUUCCACUUCAAUCUACUCAGCUCCAUGUCAGCAGCUCCUAUGACAUGUCAUUCAACACUCCUCCUUGUCUUUGGAGCUGCAAACUCCAAGCCUUUGCCUUAAGAACUCAUAUCUAGCUUUGGGAAGUGGUUUGGUUAAGAUAUCAGCAUUCUGACUUUCUGUUUUACAGUAGACCAACUGAAUUUCUCCCUCCUUCUGUACCUCUCUUAGGAAAUAGAGUUUCAACUUGAAAUGUUUUGUUUUUCCAUGGAACACCGGAUUAUUUGCAAUUGAAAUUGCAGCUUGGUUAUCUACGAGUAUUUGUGUGCUUUCAUUUUGCUCCAUAAGCAAGUCAGCCAUUAAUUUCCUAAUCCAGAGAGCCUGAUUCACAGCAGCGGCAGCAGCUACAUAUUCUGCUUCUGCUGUAGAUUGAGCUAUGACUUCUUGCUUUUUGGAACACCAUGAAAAAAUAGCAGAACCAAAGCUGAAACAAUAACCUAAAGUACUUCUCAUGUCAUCAACACAACCUGCCCAAUCACUAUCUGAAUAACCAUGGAGAGUAAAGUUUUUAACUUGACAAAACCUCAGACCAUAGUUAAUUGUACCCUUGACAUAUCUAACAAUUCUUUUUGCUGCUUGAAAGUGAAUUUCACUAGCACAAUGCAUGUACCUUGAGAGUAAACUUACAACAUUCAUAAUAUCUGGUCUAGUUGCCGUUAGGUACAUCAAGCACCCAAUAAUGGUCCUGUAAAGCCUUUCGUCAGCUUUUGCAGCUCCAUUUUUUUUGCAAAACUUCUCAUUUUGAUUCAUUGGAGUUGCACUUGGAUUGCACUCUUCCAUCUUGAACUUUUUCAGGAUUUCCUUGGCAUAUUUCUGUUGACAUAUGAAGAUCUCAUUCUGCUUUUGUUGUACCUCCAUGCCAAGAAAGAAUGUCAUCCUCCCAAGAUCAGUCAUCUCAAAAACAUCCUUCAUUUCCUUUUUGAAAUUGCCAAUUUGCUUCAUACUGCUUCCUGUCACAAGUAGAUCAUCAACAUAUAAAGAUACCACAAGUGUUUCAUCACAAACCUUCUUGAAGUAUAGAGUAAAUUCACUUAGGCUUUUUGUAAAGCCUAACCCUAACAAAUGUGAAUCAAUCCUACUGUACCAUGCCCUUGGUGCCUAUUUUAAACCAUACAAGGCCUUUUUCAGCAAAUAUACUUUAUCCUCCAUUCCUUUAACAAUAAAACCUUCAAGCUGCUCCACAAAAAUUUCUUCCUCCAAGUAUCCAUUCAAGAAGGCUGAUUUGACAUCCAUCUGAUGUAUAUUCCAGCCCUUUUGAGCAGCAAGAGCCAGGAACAUUCUUAUAGUGUCCAAUCUAGCAACUGGGGCAAAAGUCUCAGAGAAAUCCACCCCCAAACAUCUGAGCAUAUCCUUUGACAACCAGUCUUGCCUUGUGUUUGUUUAUAGAACCAUCAGAAUUGAGUUUGGUUCUAUAAACCCACUUGACUCCAAUUGCCCUUUUAUGUCUUGGUUUGUCCACUAGCUCCCAAGUCUGGUUUUUUUCAAUCAUUUUAAGCUCCUCCUUCAUUGCAUCCAUCCAUUUUUUAUCCGUUGCAGCUUCUUCAUACCUUGCAGGCUCUAUUAUAGCAAUAUUGCACCUCUGAUAGAUGUCAGAGAGUGAUCUGGUUCCCCUGACAGGUUCAUCAUCAAUAUUGGCAUUCUCCUCCUGAAACUCAAGCUUCUUAUCAUUCUCCCAACUUCAAAUUCGAAGAAUUUGACAUCUCUACUAACUAUGACUUUGUUGUUUUUUGGAAGAUAGAUUCUAUAGGCCUUUGAUAUUGAGUUAUAACCUAUAAAGAUCCUAGCUUCUGCUUUCUUAUCCAAUUUGUCUCUCUUAACAUGUGGAAUAUAAGAGAAACAAAGACAACCAAAUGUUUUUAAAUUUUGCAGCCUUGGUUUAUAGCCAUACCAUGCUUCAAAUGGAGUCUUUUGUUGCAAAGCUUUUGUUGGCAGUCUAUUUAGCAGAAAGACUGAUGUAUGUGCAGCCUCAGCCCAGAAUUUCUUUGGCAGCCCUUUCUCAUGCAGCAAACACCUUGUCAUUUCCAUAAGUGUUCUAUUUUUCCUCUCAACGACUCCAUUCUGUUGAGGGGUAUAAGGUGUUGUAAGCUGGUGCUCAAUGCCUGCAUCCUCACAAAAUUUGUUAAAUUUCUCCGAGGUGUAUUCAGUUCCAUUAUCAAACCUGAUCACUUGCAUUUUACAUUUACUUUGAUUUUCAGCCCAAGCUUUAAACUUCCAAAAGAUGUCAGCAACCUCAGAUUUAAAUUUCAUGAAAUAAAUCCAGCACAUUCUUGUGUGAUCAUCAAUGAAAGCAAUAUAGAACUUACUGCCAUUCAGUGAUGGUGUUCUCUGAGGUCCUCCCACAUUAGUGUGUACUAACUGCAACUUCUGAGUAGCUCUCCAGGCCUUGUUUUGUGGGAAAGGAAGUCUUGCUUGUUUCCCGUACUGACAUGCUACAUAGGUAGGAGGCUUCACCUCUAAUUCAGGCAAGCCUUCUCCAAGAUCGUUCUUCUUCAUAAAGAGAAGGGCGCUAUGAUGAAAGUGCCCCAAACGCCUAUGCCAAAGCAUUGUAUUGCUUUCUUCUUUGUGAAUUGCAGCCUGCUCUUCUUGCAUCAAAUCCAAGGCAAAGCCUUUGCCUUUCAUUUGAACUAUAAAUACCUCUCUGCCUUGUGCAUCAGCAAUCAUGCACCGAUUGUCCUCAAACAUCACCUUAUAGCCUUUUUCCAGCAGCUGACCGACACUCAAUAGAUUUUGAUUAAUCUCAAGAACAUAUAAGACAUUAGAAAUUAAUUUCAAACCUGUGUGGCCUUCAAUUGCCACUGUUCCUUUGGCCUUACUGCAAGAUAUGCUCCAUUUCCAAUUCUAACUUUGGAAGUAACAGUUUUGUCAAGUUCCUUAAAGAGCCCUUGAUCAUAAGUCAUAUGGUUUGUACAACCACUGUCUAUAAGCCAAGUUUCUGGGGAGCUACUAGUGGCAAAGCAUGAUACCACAAAUAGUUGCUCAUCUGGAAGUUCUUCCACAGCAACCUUGACUUCUCCUUGCUGCUGUUGAGAUUUGCAAAUCCUUUCCACAUGCCUUAGAUGACCACACUUGUGACAUCUUACAUCCGGCCUCUACCAACACCUUUUUUGUGGAUGAUUGGAUUUUUUACAGUAAGGACAUGGUGGAAACUUUUGAGUGUUGUUGUUGCUGUUAUUGUUGCUUUGCAUCUCUUUUUUGUACUGAGAUAUGGCUUGAAAUGCACCCUCCACAGAUCCUUCUUGUCUCAUAAGCCUCCUUUGUUCUUGAGCCUGUAAUGCAUUCAACAACUCUGCCAAGGUGAUACUUGACACAUCUUUUGAGUUUUCUAGAGAUGAUAUUGUAGUCUCAAACUUUUCAGGAACUGUUAUAAAAAUUUUCUGAACCAUUCUAGAAUCAAAAAAGUCAGUACCAAGAAGUCUUACUUUGUUAACAAUACUAAGAAGUCUGUCUGAGUAAUCCUUGAUUGUUUCUGAUUCUUUCAUCCUUUGCAUCUCAAAUUCUCUAAUCAAGUUCAGCACUUGCAUACCUUUGACUCGUUCAUUUCCUUCAUAUUCCUUCUUCAAGAAGUUCCAUAUUUCAUUUGUUGUCUUCAGUGUCAUGAUUCUGGUGAAAAUUGUAGAUGAGACAGCUGCAGCUCAAGAGAACCACAUAAUGCGAUGCUCUAAGGGUUUCAAAGAAAGACACGAGGCUUGGGAGAGGUUGAGUUCAAGAUUAGCUAAGGUAGUACAUAGGGUUCCUUAAGGAAGUACCUAAAGGGAGGAAUAUAUUAAUUAUUCAUAUAUAGCUUCCCCUCCCUAGACGAAGGAAACAAAAUCUUUUGCACUUUGUUUUGAUAUGUAAUUGCCUUUCUAACAAUUGGGUAAAUCAUUUGACCUAAUAAAUGUUUAGAUCAUUGUAUUAGUAAAUAAGUCCGUAGGUGAAACAACUACAUUAAUUCCUUUUUUGAAAAGGCCUUUGAGAAGCCAAAAACUAUUUUUAAAUUGAAUAAGAGCUUAACUAAUUUUUUUAAAAAGAGUUAAAAGCUACAUAAUAUGAAAUCUAGGAAAACGUUAAUUUGUCGUAGAAGCUUUAUUUUAGCUUAUAUGGGAAACUAUUUUAUGUUAUAAGAUCAAUAUUGCCCUUUGAGAAUUAUAGCUUCUUCCUUGAGCUAAAGGCAAAAACAAAAACCUAUCCGAGUAGGAGAACAAAGUACAAAACUUGAUUCUUACCAGGAAAGCAUAAAUUGAAAAUCACCAAUUAUCCCAACAUCCAACUCAAUAAAUUAAAACACCUCAAAAUCAAAAUGUCAAAAAUAUAUCAAUUUUCUUCUAUUGAAACAUAAAACAAACUGAAUGCUUGAAACAACAUCAACCAUCCAUUAAUUUGAUUUUUGGUCAAUCACCCAUUUCUUUCUUUUUUAAAAAUAAGAAGACCACACAUUUAGGUAGAAUCGCUCUCUGCUACAACGUAGGCAAUGCCUACAUAAGAACUAAAUCCUACCCACAAAAUGUCUCCUCAAAAAACUAUAAUUAAAAAAAAUGAAAUAAACAAGGGAGACAUCAGUUAUAUAUAUAUAAACAAGGGAGACCAGUUCAAUUGCAAGAAAUCAAAGAACAAAAGGUUCACAAACUUGAAAGCUACCUUUGAAAUUCUUGAAAAAAGUAACAGAUUACUGUACCACGACAUUGAUUAACCCAAUGAAAGAAUUUAACUCCACAAAAAGAUAUUUACGCAAAUGAGGUUAGGCUUUUAAGGAUUUGGGUUUUCAGGAUGAAGAGAAAGACGAGGCAGAGGCCAAGGUUUCAAAAAUUUAGGGUUCUAGGAGGGACAAAAGCAAAUGGAGUUUUAGGUUUCCGUUGACAGAGUUGGUGUCGAGGUGAAAAACGUUAGAUCUUUUUAUUUUUUAUUUUUUGGGCUUUUAAGGUUUUUUGGGUAUUCAGAUGUGGAGGCUGAGCUGGACGAAUGGGAGGGCAUUUUGGGAAUGAAAGCACACUUCAGUACAGAGUGCAUGGAAUUGCCAAUAUUUUCGGCAUUAGCACAGAUUUCUUGAUUUUCCCAAAGUUGGGGGUUGAAAAAUCCUAACAUUGUGAACCCUUGUUUUAUAGGUAGAGCAUAAGGUGUGUCCAUUGUGACACUGUAAAGAAGUCAACUUGGUAAAAACCACGACACAAUUUUUAUGCCUUAAAAGCAAAUAUAAACAAUUAAAAAGAGAGUCGAAAACUCAUUUUUGAUCUAUUUCUGAACCAUACCAGGCAGUAGAUACCAGACUUUGCAAUCAAACAUCUUAUUUGAUGCGAAGGGACAAGCCAAUGACCAAACAAAUAGAGGAGAAAACAAAGUGUCGAGGAAAAGAUGCCACAGAAAUCAAAAGAAAGUGAAAAAGUGUGAGUCACUUGAAUUUCUUAAAUAGCUAAAAACAGGUGGCUUACCUAUUAUGGCUCUUCAUGAUGAUUUAUUCUUUUGGUGAGAUUCUAGGUUGUGAUAAGCAUACAUGGCAAAAGAAAAAAAAAUGUUUUAAGAACACAUGGAACAAUGAUUAAUCAUCUUUCCGUGGAAGAAAAAACAUCUAGCUGGAAUACGUUGACAAUGGAAAGGAAGCAAUCAAAAGGAAGAACAACCAUUCAACAGUUCCACCCGAAAAAUCCAAUGCAAGGUAUAGCAAAAUAUAACAAUCACAAAGGAAACAAAUUAUUAUGUGAUCUACCAGUAAGUAACAGAGACCAGAGAACAUGGGAGUACACUAUUGAAGAGCCGCUUGGAACACUAGUCUACUCAUAAUAAGUAGAAAUAGUGAAAUAGUUCCAAUUAAGUUAUAAGAUGGUUCAAAACCUCAUAAAACUAGAUAAGAACUUCCAGUUAUCUUCUAAUUUUAGCAGAAACUAGAGAAAUUAGUCUUCCAACUAUAAAUAACUGUGAAAACCCUUAAGAUUUCAGAUAAUCAAUAGAAGGAAUCCCAGAUAGAGAUGGUGUUAAAAUAUGUCAACAAGUCUAAUUAUAAGAAUAUUCACAUACUCCAACAUAACUUGUCAAGCAUAUGAUACUCAUAAACUGUUUUAAUUUCAUACUAUAAAUGAUAAUAAAAAAAAAUGCACUAGCAUCUCUCUCUUAACUUCAUAAAGCUGCAGAUAACAAUAGGAAAAUUAAAGAUGUUUGAAUUAAAUUUAUAGGAGCAACAGCCUAACAGGAGAACGUAUAAUUCUUAAAGAAUGGAUUAAAGAUCAGUCUUGUGUGUAACAAUAUCCUUUGUUUCUGAAGCUCUGGAUGGAUGGGGCAAAGUGCUUUCAAGAUUAUCCACUGUGAUGUUAUUUGAUACAAUCAAGGCAGGAAGACCAGCAGAAUUGUUUAUAAUAAGUUUUGGUAUCAUACUAUCAUGGAGUUUCUUCUAGAAACAAUUCAACAUAAUUCUUCUUAACACAUUACAAUAUAGGAGUUUAAAAGGUUCUCCCCAUCAUGAAACUAAUCACUUCAAAUUGACAACCAAUUCGAAUCAGCUCCAAUAUCAAAAUAAGCAAUCCACAAAAAACCCAAGUGCCAUUCCAUCCAUAUACCAAAAUAAACCUUCAAAUCCAUUUGAAGAAAUCAUUUCAUCCAAAACCCACUUGUAAAAACACAUUAAACUCAACAAAAAAAACAUACCAAAAAAUAAUCCAUCAACCCCAAAAACCCCAAAUCAAUUUCCCUUGUUGAUUGAUUGAUUGCAAUAGUAUUACACAGGCUUAUCAUUUUGUCGCCCUAGAAAAUGAAAUGCCCAAGUUCUCAAUUGAGUGGAGAUUUCAAAACAUUGAAAAACCUAAUACCCCAAAUUCUAAUAUUUUUUGUUCCUUCUCCCACAAUUCUCAUCAACCAAACGGAGAAUGACGAACGUAUCAAAUUCUCUAUUGAUGGGAGAUUUCAAUUUUCUUGCUUCCCAAACAAUGCCCAAAACUCCAAAAUUUCCCUUUUUCCCAUACUUUCCUACCAAUCAAACAGACAAUAACCAAUCCAAGAAACCACCUAAAGAGGAGAAGAAAUGCACACAUAUACACACUCACUUGGUGGAUUGGUGGGUACAUGUAAUUGGUGCACACGGGGCACUCAAGCAAUUCAUGAACGCUAGUCGCCGGAGCAGUCGCCGAAGGAACGACGCCUUUUUGAAGAGGCUUCGACGAGAACUGAUGAACCACAUGAUUGUGAUUGAGAUUGUGAUGAUGGUAAUGAAGGUGGUAGAUCUCCUCUUCUUCCAUGUCAUCCGAUGAUGAUACACACUCGAUAUUAUCCAAGUCCAUUAACACACGACCAGAACCAAACAGCUCCUAAAAAGGAGGUUCUUUUCUUCCUUCUUCUCUCUAUCUGUUUUUGUAUCGAGUUUCCCCAAAUUUGAAAGCUUAUCGGGUCGGUUUUACAAAUUUGAUAACUUUGAAGAACCCGGGCGGGGGGGGGGGGGGGGGGGGGUUUUUGGAAAGGGGGGUUUUAAAAAAGUUAUAAUGGGGGAAAAAGGAAAAAAUUUUUUUAAAAAGGGGAAAAUUUUGGGGUUUAAAAAAAUUGGGGUUUGAAAAAAAAAUUUUGGGGAAAGGGGCCCCCCAAAAAAAAAUUUUCCCUUUUUAAAACCCAAAUUUUUUUUUUAAAUUCCCCACAAAAUUUAAGGUAAAAAAAAAAAAAGGGGAGGAAGGGUUUUAAUUUUCUUUGUUGGGGAACUUUUUUUUUUAAAAGGGAAAACCCCAAAAGGGGUUUCUUCCCCUUUUAAAAAAAAUUUUUUCCAAAAAUCCGAAGACCCCCCUUUAACCUGGGGGUUUUUUUUUUUUUUUAAACCCCUUUUCCGGAUUUCCAAAGGGAAAAAAACCUUUAAAAANNNNNNNNNNNNNNNNNNNNNNNNNNNNNNNNNNNNNNNNNNNNNNNNNNNNNNNNNNNNNNNNNNNNNNNNNNNNNNNNNNNNNNNNNNNNNNNNNNNNCCGGGGGGGGGGGGGGGGGGGGGGGUCUAUUGACAAGGAUGCAUUAUAAACAGUAUAUAGUGCGUAAAAAGGAAAUAAUUUUUUGAAAUAGUGGACAUAUCUUGGGUUAUACAAACUUGGGGUUUGAAAAUAAUAUUAUUGGGAAAUGGGCCUCCCAAAACACAACUUUCCCUUUUAAGAAUCCAAAUUUUUAGUUCAAAUUCCACUACAAAUUCGAUGUAAAAAUAAAAGACUGUAGAGUAUGGUUUUAACUUUCCUUGCUUGCGACUCUUCUUUUUCAAUAUGGAUAAGCCCAGAGCGGGUUCUCUCCCCUCUUAGAAAAGAGUUCAUCCAAAGAUCCGAGAGCCCUCAUCUACACGUGUGCAUUAUCUUCUCUUUUAGACCCCUUCCUCGGAUUGCCAAAGGGAACAAGACCUUGAAGAAACACAGAAUAAACGAAAUGACUAUUUUUUUUGUGAGCCAUGAGGUUAUUCUUCUAACCAUGCCCGAAAUCGUACCUCUCCAAUUUUGAAAAUAUUCCAAUAUAAAGGAGAGGAAAAAGCAAGAGCAGAGGAUGCAAGUGAGGAAUGAAAGGGCAGAGGAAUGUGGUAAAACAGCGUACAAGCCGGUUG